rnacentral:lncRNA from 1 species
UCUUUUUUUUUUUUUUUUUUUUUGUGUAAUGAAAUUUGUAAGGACUACAACAACUGAAUAUAUUUGUAACAAACCACAACUAUACCUAGUCCAAGACUGUGUAAAAUGGUUUCUUUUUUUGGUUAUUCAUUUCCCUAGAGAUGCAUGACUGUAAUACUUGGCCAUGCUAAAAGUCAAAUAUUAAUUUUUACUUGCGUGCAAUGUGCAGUUUUUUUUUUUUUUUUUUUUUAAAUUCGGACUGAAUUUGUUGAUUUUACCUAUCCAACCGAGAACCCAAAAGUACAAGGGUCUUAGUUUACCUAAAAACCUAGAAUAAAUCUUAUAUACCGUAUAUACACUAUUACCAUUGAAUCCAUGGUAUAUGUGUAAAAGUUGAAUUUUAAAUUUAAUUUUUUUUUUAUAAUUGUCAUUCAUUCAAAGUUGAUAGUGUGUACACUGUCGGUGUAUAGAAGAUUAAUCCAAAACCAAUCCAACUUAGUAAAAAACCAGGAAAAUUAAUGAGAAGUGUGGUUUUUUUUUUUUUCUAUUUCUUUCUUCCUUUCUUUAUCCUUUUUUUUUUUUCAGCUUUCUGCUUACUUUUUUUUUUUUUGGUUUUCUGUUUUUGACUUUUCCUAAAUCUCCUACUCAUCCAAUGCCAAUUUCAUCUCUCAAACAAAAACGAAUGACACAUCUGAGUUCAACAAAGGGAAAAGCAAAAGAACAUAGCGAAAAAGGAAAGUGAAUUGAGAGAGAGAGGAUUCAAGGGUACAAAAAAAGAAGUAACAAAAGAAAAAGAAUAGAUGAGAAACGUCUUUUCAUUUUGUUGACAGAAUAAAGCAAAAGGAAAGAAAAGGAAAGGAAUGAAAAGAAAAAAACGAAAGAGUAACAAGUUUUGGAAAAAGAAAUGGAGAAACAAGAAAACAGAAGACAAAGUAAGGAUUGGUGCAUCAGAUGAAAGGGAUUAUAAUUGAUGGUGGGAUAACCAUCAUCCAGUGAGGCCCAAUAUGUUUACAUCCUAUUUAGUAUCUGCUGGUUGGUUUGAAAGAGGUGGAGACUCAGGGUUAAUAUCACUUUAUCCCCUUAACGUUCGGUGUCACUAUCAAUUUUCUCCUUAACAUUAUCUUUUAGUCACUUUAUCCCCAAAACUAACGAUCAAACUUAACGGAGCUUGUUAAUUAAAAUUAAAAGACAUGUUUAACUCUUAAAAUUAUUAUCACUUUACCCCUACAAACUGUAACCUCAUUAUCAAUUUACCGCAUAGAAUUAUUUUUAAGGCAAUUUAUCCUACCAUUAAACCAACUUAACAAGUUAAAGAACUUUAGAACAAAGUGCCCUCCUCUUUGUAUAAUAAAAAUAAUAAAAAAAUUUAGAGUGAUUCGUCUUUUUUUUAGUAUCACGAAAAAGGUCAAAGUGUUAAUUUCUUUCUUAUUGGCAAUCUUAUUAAUAUUGCAAAAAAAAAAAUAGAAAGAUGGAGAGGGGGAGGAGGAGAGAUAGAGAAAGAGAAAGAGCUCAAUUCUUUUUUAAAAAAUACAAAUAAAAAAGAAUUAAAUACUUUUAUUAUUUUAAAAGUAUUUCACUUUUUUUGUUUACCACCAAAUUCCAAUUCUAAUUCCGAUAGCCUUAAAGUAAUAUGAUAAUCUAUUCCCUAGUUUUUGUCCUCUGCCUCGUUCUCUUUCGUCUAUGCAUAAAUUGCAUAAUGAAAUUUUCAUAAAUUGACACAAUAACUCAGAAACCAACAAGAAAAUAGGAAGUUUAAUGGCAAAAUUUGACACAAUUGGCUAGUAGUGUGCCUCUUUUGUGAGAUGAGCGAGUGAUUAAAAAUUAAAAAUUAACUGAGUGGCAGAGCAGGUACGUUCCGUAGUUCUUCCUUUCUGUUUCAAUGGACCUAAGAUGCACAAAAUGUCUAUAUGGGCCACCGCAAUAAUUCCAGCAACAGGUCUAUAUCUUUUCGUUGGCACAGACGAAGGACUUAGCCCAUUGGCGCUUAUAAUUAAUGUCAAAUGUUUCGAAGACUAGGUUCGAUAUAUUCUUUACCCCAUGGCCAAACUUCUUUCCACUGAAAUCGGCAAACUAGUACAUGGAUCCAAUAUCGCAACGGAUCUUCUGUUCCACACCUUGUGCCACUCUCUGUCCCACUUUUUAGUAUAUUGAUAUUUCUCCUGUAUAAACAUCACGUUUUAGUUCUUUUUUGUUUUCUUAAGAUUCAAUAACUAUUAAUUGAGUAAAAAAUAAAUACAGGAGGUUCAAAAAAGUAAUAUAUAAUAGAAAAUUAAAAAAUACAGCAGAAAAUUCAUAAAAAAUUUCAAUUUUUAUGUAUUUUGGUUUUUUGAGCUUGUUAAAUUUUGUGUAUUACUCAAUUAAUAGUUAUUGGAUCUUAAGGAAACAAAAAAGAACUAAAACGUGAUGUUUAUACAGGAGAAAUAUCAAUAUACUAAAAAAUGGGACAGAAAAUGGCACAGGGUGUGGGACAGAAGAUACGUUGUGAUCCAAUAUGGAUAACUAGUACAUGAAUACGACAUAUCUUUCUCUAUAUUCCCACAGGCAUGGCACCGAAACGUGGCCCGCUGGUUUUUGAAGGUCAAAGCGUGUACAUGGCUUGGAUGCUUCAAUUUACGGUCUUCAAUGGUAACACAUAUGAUGUCGAGGUCAAAUGCACAAGGGUUAUAGUGAUAGGUGAAGUUUCUCCACAUUUGUUGGCGGCCAUUACAGAAGCAGCUGCCUCCACUGUAAGGCGGCUUGUCAAUAAGGAUGAGGCGGUGCUGAGGGUGCAUGGCAUGAGAAAUGUCCUUUGGAAGUUCAGCACAUCUUUUGUGAAGGAAGAAGCUACACUUUCCACAAGAAUAUGUGGGCUCUGCAAGGAUUGGCGUUUGGCAGCCAUAGCAAACUGAUUUUCGAACAAUCUCAUCUCUUUCCCCUUUCACCAGAAUCAGCAGAUGCUCGUGGCUGAAAUGUUUCAGGUAUUCCAUUUCUAUGAUAUGCUAUGUGGAAAUCAAAGCUAAGAUGGGGAAAAUUACUAUGAGGAUGGCUUGACAAUGAAAGGUUGUGUUUCUACUUUGGAUCAAUUCCAAGAACUUCUUAAUAGUACAUAGAAAGAGGUGAAUCCAAAAUUAAUCUAUUACACGUUUGGAAUCUUUUCCUUUCCGCUGAUGUUAUCGUCUCUGCUAUAACAGUUACCUUUCGCUUUGGCUCAAAGUAGGGAUCCUCAGCAUCCUAAGUUGUCCUGUCCUAACUCCUAACAUAUUUCUUAGCCGUUUGUAGUGUCAACUUUUCUUCCUCUAUUGCGCUUUUCUUCCUAGCAAUAUUAUCCUACCUGCCUACUUUGAGUCGGUAGAUAUAUGUUGCAGGACAAGUUAUAAGAGAAGUGAUCCCUACCAUCCACCUCUUCGAGAAAAAAAAAAAAAAAAACAAAUGCAGAAGACAGAACAACCUUUGUUUAUUCCCAACAUACUUUGCAAUUGGAAGAGUGACACCAAUACAACUUGUUUGAACAAGGAUAUCUGCAUUUGCCUUUUCCCAAAUAGGGUACAUUAAAUUAAACACAUCACUCAGAAAUCUUAGCAGGACCAGCGAUUUUGCCAGAAUUAGCUACUCUUGCUACAUAUUUAAUGCAUAUAUAGAACUGGCAAGUUUCACAUUUAAACACCCUGUUGCCAUACAUCCGUUCAUGGCAAGAGUCGCAGGUGGAACGAUAUUCACCAUCACAAACUAACUUGAGAGGGUGCGGAUGUCUUCCAAAUUCAAGAAUGCGCCCAAAAUUGCAAUUUCGUGUCACACCAAGUCCGGGGAUACAACGAGGGUGAAAAGAUUGAUCACACUCGCGACAAUGAUAGUGCCAACGCCUGGGAUGAAUUUCUUCUUUGCAAAUCUCACAAUAGAAUUCAUCAGGACGGUCACUGAAAGGAGGAAAGCUUAGGGGAAGAGCGUAUUUAUCCCACCUGUGAUUGACACUCUCUGGUAGCAAAGCACAUUCAUAGUCCAAAUAGAAACCACAAGGCUCACAGGCAUAAAGAAAACUACGAACAACAUUUCCACAGGAGUUACAUCUGUUGCCAUUGCCCCUAUACAUUUGAACAAGGGAAUGCUCGUGUGCUUUGUGAUCGAUUGUGGAGGGUAAUAAAGCACACUUCACAUCAUGAUCAAAAGUAUACAACCUGCAUGUGUCACACUUGAAUAAGUAGCCAUUAUAGUCCAGAUUGCACGCGCUACACUUGAUCAUCCCCCAUACAAAUGACACAAAAGCCAGCUUAAGUUUAUGCUUCUCAUGACUUGGGUGUUGUAGUUCCUCUGGUAAUUGAGCACAGGUUAAGUGGACAAAAUAAUUGCAUUGAGUACAAUGGCAGCACAAGGAAACAACAGGUUCAAUGCAUCGGUUGCACGUUAUGCGUUCAAUAUUUCUUGAUUUGAUAAGUUUCUGGAUGUCCACAAUAGCCAAGGUAUGUUGGCAACAACUGACCUGUACUUUCUUGGGAACUCGCAUAAUCUCCAGGCCCUGUUUUUUCUCCAAAAUGUGUCUCAUUUCCUGGACAAAAUAGUUGGUAGGUAAUUGGACCAAAUCCUCCUCAUCUUCCUUACCCUUUGGUCCAUGCAUUCCACGCCUGCUUAUACAGAAGGAGAUGUUUAAAGGUGAUUACAUCAAUAGAUGAAAGAAAGCAAAAUGUGACGGCAAAAUCAUGUUCACUUCUAUCAAAACAAAAUCAAAAUGGGAAUGUACUCUCUUGUCAAUUAUGCAACAAAGAGGGCACAUGCAGGAUUCAGGAAAUACAGGGGUACUCGAUAAUGAAUAUCAAUCAAUUCGGUGUCUCGCCACGAAGUGGGUUCUCUAUAAUGUUAUAAUCAUUGAACUGAACAACCUGGAUUAUUCUAUAACUAAGAAAAAAAAUGAAGAAUACUUGCGGUAGAAUCCUGUCCCUUGUCAUGCACUUGAGAUGGACAAAGUAUCUACAGGGACCGCAAUAGUACACCCAAUUUUGGAAGGGUAUUUUCUUGAAGGAGAUGUCACACGGAAUUUCAUAUCUACAAUAUUCAAUCGGAAAACAAUAUGCAAGAGAAAGAGGAUGCUGAUGAGGCUUUCGAUGGUUGAUAGUCGGCAACAAGGCACAACUCCUAUGGAUCCAGAAGGUACAGGCAGUACAAAUAUAGGAUUGCUGCUCCUCUUUUGUUCCACAAGCAUCGCAAGCGAACGAAGCUAUUCUUUGUACCAGAGUCAGUGGAUGUUCGUGGCUAGGAUGUUCCAAUUUGCCUUGAGGAAAAGCACACAAGAUAUCAAGGUCGAAGUUACAACGAUAACAAUGAUAGACGAAGCUAUUCCAUGGUUGUCUACAGGCAUCGCACAAGCAUCUUCUGUCUUUGGGAUAAGGUGAAUUUGGCAGGAGUUUGAGUGGAUGGUUAGGGUGCAGGGGAUGAUGCAACAUCUCCCUUGGCAGCUCUGCACAUGUUUUGUGGAGGAAGAUGUUGCAUUCGCUGCAUUUGUAUGUGGGCUCUUCAAGAAUUGGUUUUUGACAGCCGUAGCAGACACUAUUAAUAGGUUUCUGAUCAUCGUGCUGGAGCUGAGUAGCGAGGAUGCUUUUCAUGGCUAAAGUGUUUCAGCUCCCCCUCCAUAUCUUUUGCCGUUUUAAUGUCGGCAAAACGUAAAAAAUGCUUAUCCUGGCUGGCUGGAGUGCUGCUGAUCUUGAAAGAAAGCGAUUGGACCAUAUGAGAAAUGUUAUGCCGUAUGUGCAUUAUUUGGCAGCUGAGCAAAGCAAAGGACAGUGGUGGAGGGAGCCAGUCUUGUCUUGUGAACAACUCCUCAGAUUUUGGAAUCUUUGAUCUUUUAUGCACUUUUUUUUUUUUAUUGUUUUGAGAUCAUUUGCUACAGGGAUUAACUAACUACAUGAUCAAUUGCUGCCUCUGCAGGUCCUCAAUCUUGGGAGUGCGAUGAAAUUGGACCUCUCCGGCAAACAUCAGAGAUAAUAUUAUACAUCUCCUUGAUUUAGCUGAAAUGAGCAGAUAAAAUGACAUGACAAAGCCAAACAAAAUACAGGCAAAGGUCGCGGAAUAUGCAAGAGAAAAAGGAUGCUGGUCAGGUAAGCACAACCCUUAUGUAGUGACAGGUAGCAUAAAUAUUGGAUUGCUCUUAUUUUGUUCCACAUGUAUCGCAAGUGAAUGAAGCUUGUCUUAUUAGCAGAGUUAAUGGAUGUUCAUGACUUAAAUAAAUGUUCCCAUUUGCCUUGAACAAAAAAGGCAUACAAGAUAUCUAUCAAGGUUGAAGUCACAAGAAUAACAACAGUAGAAGCAGCUCUUACAUUUUCCAGAACAGGCAUGGCAUGGCAUGGCAUGGCACAAGUAGUUUUGCCGACUAUCUGACGACCAUUUCAGAGAAACUAUAGGCAGCGCAUUACCUUACACCCAAGUAAAAGGAAAGUGGUUUAGGGUCUGUUUGGUUGGAAAUAAAAUGUUUUCUUUGGAAAAAUAUUUUCCGUGGAAGUAAUUUUUCAUGAAAAUCAUUUCCCUUUCAUCAUUUUCAGGUGUUUGGUUAACUUAUUGAAAAUAUUUUCUUACUUCAUUUUUCUGGUGUUUGUUUCUCUUUUGAAACAUUUUUACUUUUAUCUCUAUCUUUACUUUCUACACAUUAUAACUACAUACUUCUUCCCAUGCAAAAUAAGAAAAUUUAUCUCAUUGUUUAACUUUAAAAAAUCUUGGAGAAAUGUAUAUAUGAAUAAAAAAUAUUUCCUUAAGCAAUAAACAAAUUGCUGGCCAUUUAGUGUCAAAUAUCAAUCACAUGCAAUGUUUAUUGUGACAUAUAUCUUGCACUCUCACUGCUGAAAGUUUCUCUAGAAAAGAAUGUCCCUAUUAUACGUAAUUAAUUAUUAGCAUAGGAUGAGUAGGAUGAGAUUUUUUUUUUAUUUUGAAUAUACUAGAGGGAGGGUUGGAUUGGGUUGGGUUGGGUGGUACGGGGGAGGGAGUGUAAGGAAGAGGUCUUGGGUUCGAGUCCUGCUGUUUACACUAAAAAAAAAAAAAGGAACAUACUAUAAAAUGUUUUCAGUAAGUUUGGAACAUACUACAGGCGGGAUGCAUGCAUUUCGGAAAACAACUUCAGUAAGUUUGGAAGGGAAGUUAUUUUCCAUAAGAUGAGUGAAAAUAUUUUACAUAGGAAAAUGUUUUCAGUAACUUUUGUGCAAUCAAAUACGGGAAAUUAGGAAAAUAUUUUCCUGCAAAACAUUUUCACCUGAAACAAACGGACCCUUAGAAUCCUUAGUUUUUUUUUUAUAGGAUUCUUGAUUCGUGAGGCAAUGAGAUUUGAUCAUCAACCCGAUGGCAAGUAUAGAUUCUACUUCUUCAAUUUUCAUAGCUACUUCAGAUCCUUAACUUUGAGGAUUCUCCCACCCUAAUUCCAAUGAGAGAGUUGCUGCCAAUAUUAUUACACAUAAGAUGCUUUCAGCCGGGAGAGUGCAAAAUCAUUCUUCAAAAAUUAAUCCACUGGAAGAAUGACAUCUUGCAUCAACUCCAAAACUUGAUCAGAUAGCACAUAUUAACUUUCACAAGACCCGGAUUGGUCCUAAAAGAGCACAUGCCCACCAAUUUAACUAUUUUCUAAUCUGACUUUUUUUUUAUGAUUUAAUAAUUAGUUUUCUGAAAAAAAAAAGUUAUUUAAAACAAUAUAAAAAUUUUCACCAACAAUCAUGUUAUAAACCACCCAAUUUUUUGCAAAAAGUUUUAAAAAAUAUUUGGAAAAAAAAAAGGAGACAAACGUGAAAACAUUGGUUAAGUUGUACUACAUGGGUUAUACAUACGGUAAGGAGCAUGUGUUGAUCUUUCGUGUAUGUCCAUCUCCUGGGAUGCAAGAGCCAUGUCCAUGCAUUCACCAGGUACCAUGCCUAUGCAUAUAUCUCGACUAUAUACAUCCACCAGACGCAGAUCGAGAGCAACUAUAAGGAGAAGAAAGACUUGUGAAUCCCCAUGGCAGACAAGCUGUCUUUACCAAUAGCAGAGGUGGGGAUUUCCUUCACAAGAAACUAAAUAAUCGAAAUGACCAUCUAAAACAUGGGCUUCUGAUAUCUCUUCCAGGUAAAAGUUCUGAAGUUGUAGAGGCUGAAUUGUAAGGCUUGGUUAAAAAUCAUGGCAUGAAAAAGCAGAGGUAUAAGAUUCUUAUUGAAUCAUCAAAUGAACAUCUAUAAGCACGCAGGUUUUCUAUAAUAUCUCUUCCAGGUAAGCUCUAAAGUUUCUUAUCAUGGAGCAUCUCCACCUCGCAGGCUAUCAAAUACUAUGCAUUUCUCCACGAUUAGCUGAAAUAUGAGAAAAAAAUAUGGCAGCACAAACAGAAAUAAAAUGCAGGCGUAGAUAGAGGAAAUUGCAGAACAUCACAGCCAUUCAUCAGACAUGUACAUGAUGUGUAAACAACAUACAUCCAGCUUAUGUUUUUCAAUGUUGGACCACACUCUACCUAAUAUACAUGGAUAAAAGGACAAAAAUGCUUAGCCUCAUCAGAAGCCUACGAAAAAGAAAACUAAUAAAAACGAGUUACUAGGAUGUCAGACAUGCAAGCAAUUUCUGGCACAGUUGCCUGACCUCCAUUGAAGGAUCUGAUGUGGAUAUUGUUUGAAGCAAUGUUCUUGCUUCCAGCAGUCCCCCUGAAAUAUUGUGGAUAACAGCUUCCUCACUUGCCAUUAAAGAAGCCAAUAACUUGGCACCUGUUAUCCUCACCUAAUGGACAGGAUACAAACACUCAUAGGAACGUCACAAGGUAGCACCUCAGAAAGAAAACAAGACGUUUUCCAGUAAAAAUUUAUUACCGAACCAGACUUUAGAGAUUCAAGAGCAAUAAAAAAUUCCUCCAAUAUGUUGAUUUUUCUUUCCUCAAAUCAAAUCUUUUCCAGUUUAAACAAUUAUUUGCUUGCGCGAAAGCAAAUCUUGGUGCAUGAGUGUCAGAGAUGGAAGUUGUUUUGGGUGUUUUUGGAGGGGGGGGGGCCGGAGGGAAGGACUAUAUAUGCCUUUCAAUCCUCCUUUGUUCCUAUCAUUCUGAACUUUUCCUAAAUCUGUGUGUGUAUGUGCGUCAGAGAGAGAGGCUACCAUUUAGGCCUGGCCAUAUUCGCUGAGUUAUGGUUGGUAAAAUAAUUACAAUUGUCAUACAUCAGUUAUAAACUCCGUGCGUGUGCAUGUGUCUGUCUGCAUAAAAAGCACACAGGUGUAUAUGUGCAUGUGUAUGUGAGCAAUUCCAAUGAGCAACAUCCAAAAAUAUUAAAGGUCACCGUAUUACCUUUUCCACAACAUCUGUAAGUGAAGUUAAUGCAAUCUUCAGAAUAUCGGAGGAGUAAGGAAGAACUGCAGAUUUCAAAUGGUACACCGCAGAGAAGAGAACCUGGUUGCAGGCAGCCCUAAUUUCAGAUUCUGUAAUUGCCUGCCAAAAAUGAAGAGAUGAGCAGGAAGAAUGACAAGCUCAUAUAGGAAAACCUAUGAAAUAAUAACACGAAAUACCCUGGUGGAGCAAAUGACAGGUGGGAGAAUUUUCUGAGCCAAUAGCAUCUUGCCAGACUCUGAAACCUUCUGACAAGCACUGAUGAGGACAUUAGCCAUGCAGAGACGAAAUGAGAUGUGCAUCUUUGCUUCUGAUUCCUUGUUCCAUUUAGCCAAUCCAGAAGUAACAGAAUCAUUAGCAUUGGCAGUCAAUAGUCCAAUCACGUAAUUGCAGACUGAGCUCUCUAAAGUAACAUCCCCUGCAUGAGUGGCUUUUAACAUAAAAAAGUUUCUUCCAGAUGAUUUAAGAAGGAAAAGAGAACACAACAAGCCAAACCCAACCUGAAGAUAGGCCCACAUCAAUCAUGCGUGCUUCAUCUUUAGUUGAACUUCUUCCUCGCUUUGAACCUUCUAGUUCAGCACACAUCAUCCAUGACAGGCAAUCAAUGCAUCCAUGUUGUGCUUUCAAGACUGAAGAUUCCCCAGCAGCCAUCAGAAAUCUGACUUAAAGUUUACACCUUAUGAGAGAUCAUCAAGCACUCACCAUCGUUUCUAUCCAUCGAAGGCCAAGAUAAAAUGGUAUUUAUAGUCUUCCUUAUUACACUCAUGCCAGAAUGCUUAUAUGAAUCCUCGCCUCUGACCUAUAAUCAAAAGGUUGAAAUGAUAAUUUAUAAGUUGUAAAAAGAAAUGAUAACAAAUGUGUGGACAACAUGCAUUUCCAUACCAAGAGCGAAGUGCAAAUUGUAAAAAGACAAGACUUUAUCUUCAUUGUGUCCUCAGCUGUUGCAGCAACUUCUAGUUGUGAAGAAAUUAAUGGAAUUAACACCUGCAGCAUCACCAUGGUCAGUAUUAUAGGGGUUUAAGUGUUGAAACACACAUCCACAAUGCACACCACAAAUUUUAGAAGCCUAAACCACAUCCAGUAUGAGAAAAUACAGCCAAAGCUGAAGGAGAAUCUAUCAAGUUACCUUCUCGUGCAAACUAAACUAUGGUUUCAACAAAAAUAAUUAUGAACACCAUUUUGUCAUGAGUAUAUUUGUAAGGAGCAGCAAUACUGAAAUAUAUAGUAACACAUCAAGGAAGUAAUCAAACUGACUCCGUUAAGUUCUAUUACAAUUGGUACAGCAACCUCCCCCAUCAACAUGUCCCGUUAAUAAAAGGGACUACUUAAUAGAUUGUAGAUGCACUUAUUUACAAUUUCUCAUCUAUAUUAUUGUACUCAUAAGGUAAUUUUGAACAUAGGACACAUUAUUUGCACAAUGUCAACAACUUUUAACUGUGUAAAAGCAAUAAAAAAGAGUGCAAGUAAUGCAAUACUUCCUUCAUCAAUAAGCAAGUUUUGCAAAUAAAAACAAUUCAAAAGAAAGAAAGAAAUACAUCAGGCCACCAUAACGACUAUUUGAAAUUUAAAGGCAUAAAGAAGGAUCAUGUUAGACCACCAUUCAUUUUGCAUAUAAAGUAUUUAAAGGACAGCAACAUAUUAUGGUUUUAGAGUCUCAACUUGAAAAAAUAGGACUAUUCAGGAUUGACUAAGAACUAAAGAGAGGUUAGAUACAGUAUAAAAAUGAGGAGAUUUUUCUUUUUUGAGUUUUUUUUUGUUGUGGGGGGGGGGGGGGGGAGGACAGAUGUCUCUGCAAUUGCAAGACAAAUUCUGGUAACUCACUGUUACCGCCAACUACAUGAUUCACACUAUUCAAUCAUGCUCAAUUCAAAACCUUGAAGGUAAAGUGAAGCAUGGGAUUCCUUGAACUGGCUAAUUUACUAAGGAACUCAAGUCUUGUCCAAUAAGAAUGCUGCAUUUGGCAAGACUUUGUAGCUGAGGAAACACAUUUAGGUUUUGGAAGCUGGGGCAGCGAAAAGAAUAUUCAGUAACAUGAGUUUGGGAUGCAAUGAUGAAGAGAAACAUAGGACACUUAUUGAUGGUUCUCUACGAAAUCUUACAAUUGUUCCCAACAAAAGAAGAACGUCUUCAGCCAACUUCUUUCACUACAGAUGGCUGGCAAGGCCACACUCCUGUUGAGGGAGUUCAUGUCCAUGUUGCUACCUUGCUCAGCAAGCUCCACAAAAACGUGCUUGUCUUUGGGCAAAUCUUUACAAGGCAAAAGAAUCUCGAAGCUGGUUUUUCAUCAUGCAAACGAAAUGGAAGACAGACAUUUAUAGUAUCUGCUCAUGGACAGACACUAAAUGGUUGUCUAUUCUGGUGGUCUGUGGAUUGAGAUGAAAGGACAAUUCAUAAGCUGGAGGAGUCAAUUGAAAACUGAAACUCAACACUCUCUGUAAAGCAAGCUCAGAUAAAAAUCAUUUUUGCUUCCAAUCAUAUACCAGAAUUCUUCCCCUCCCCCAGGGCUGUUAAACCUCAUCUUGUGGUGGUUUGCUAUAGUUCUACUAGCAAAUAGUACAGCAAUUGACAAGUUGCUUUGCUUCAACAACCAACCAGUCUUCCCAGUUCCGCGACGUGUAAGAAGUCCAUGACUUCAUUAUCGUGCACAAACAUUACACGAGAUUUAAAAAUGCAUCUACAUUGCACUGUAGCCAUUCCAAUCAAGAGAGUCUAUUUUCUUGAAACAACCAUCUCAUUCACUGUUUACUUAAAAUAACCAUGUUGAUCUUUGAUUCAGAGCAUAAGCAAAACCCCCUCUCUCUGUCUUCAAUUUCUACUAUUUUCAUUUUCUGUCUUAAUCAGGUAUCCACCUUAAGAUUAAGAUAAGGUCUAAUUAAGUUGCUCAUUUAACACAAGCAAUAGUCAUGCACAAACUUCACAAACUUCAACUCCAAAGUGCAAAAAUUAACACACUCCCACAACCACCAGGCAGUUCCCUUGCUCCAUAGAGAAAAGUAUGAGUCAAUUGAUCCCAUAAACAUAGUUAGAGGCCACUAACCAGUUUGAAGGUGAAAGACCCACAUUAGAACAAUAUCUUAGGCAACCAUUACCAUACAUAGGGAGUUGGAUAAUAGUUAUUGAAACCACAUGUUAGAAACUAACACCAUUCAGCACGGAUAAGGGAGUUUGGCAGGAGCGUAAAGCUAAAACAUAAAAUAAACUUUGUACUUCUUUACAUACAUGCGGAUGCAUGCGCCCGCAAAGUUCAGCUGCAAGUUUCCGAACAUCUUCGAAUUCAAACUUGUUGAACGCCCUGAAAAGGUUUAAAAUUAGAAACUUAAUAAUCUUUUUUCACAAGUAGAAGUUCCAGAAUUCUUAUUCUUAUAUACAAACCUGUCAAUUAGAAGCGCACCAAUGCAUUCAGUGUCAUCUAUGGUUAGACGUCCAGUAUCUGGAAGCAUAGAUAGCAGGAAAGCAAAUGUAAGUCCAAAGAAAUAGCAGAUGGACUACUCAUUGGUUGAAGGCAGAACAAAGUACAUAAAAGCUCAAGUUAGAACAUAUGCCAUUACCUAGUCAAAGUGAAAAAGCAAGAUGCUUAUAAAAUGAAUAAUUCAAUAUCUGAACAAUGGAUUUAUAUACCAACGAGAACAACUGCACAUUGAAUGACACUAAAUAUCUUUCUACCCAAAAAUAAAAAAAGAGGAGAGAAUAGGCAAUGUGAUAUCCACAUGGAUUAUCCUUCCGUAUCAAUAAGAAAACUGUCAAAUCUUCUGUUUCAAACUCUUUUUAGAAAAAAUGCAAGCAACAAAAGGCCGAUCAGAAAUUAUAAGAAAAGGAAAACUAUAUCAUUUUAUCCACCCAUAGAUGCGUCACACAUCACAAAGAGUUAAAUCUCUUAUUUCCAAGUAUAUCAGUCACUCAUCCUGACAGCAGGAGCGUUUCACAAGAUUAAUAGAAUGUCCAAAUAUCAUCACUACAAGCUAUCGGCCAAUGGAAUUUGUAAUUAUUUAGAAGAAAAAGGAGCACGGGCUUAAGACUAACUAUUUAUCUAUAAAAUCAUCACUCAUCACAUAGAGUUAAACUCUUAUUUCCAAGUAUAUCAGUCACUUGUCCUGACAGCAGGACCGUUCACAAGAUUAAUAGAAUGUUCGAAUAACAUCACUACAAGCUAUCGGUCAACGGAAUUUGUAAUUAUUUAUAAGAAAGAGGAGCAUGGGCUCGAGACUAACUACUAAGCACAUGCGUGUAUAUAUAUCUAUUAAAUGAAGAGGAUGAAGCACCAAAAACCAAUAGCAAGAGACAAAUCAACAGUAGACAUACCAUGCACAACACUUUCCUUCAAAUGCCCAUAAACCAAAGGAGAACUGAGAUUGUCAAAAACUUUUAGCGGGAGCAGUUUGAUUACUAGUAAUGGGCAAAGGCGACUAAAGAGAGAAUUGAAAGAAUCAACAUCUUGACAGGUCCCACUCUCCCCUUUGGAAACGCUCUCCAGAAUGCUGCCAAAGAAGGAGAUAAAUUUAAUGGAGAUAAAAACCAGAAGAGUUAACUUAAUGUAUAAAAUGUAAACGAAAAAAAAAAAGAUAACAAUAAAUUUUCCAAUGCUUUAAACAAAACAAACCAAAUGAACACAACUGUUGAUCACAUGAUGUACAGAAUGAUGAUUUGCCAAGAACAGGAUUCAAACAGUAUCAGACACAGUAACAUGUACCAAUACUUCCUCUAGUUGGAUUAGAAAGACGGCAAAUCAUGAAGCGUUUCAUGCAGAAUAACGCAUGGAACAACUUAUGCUCAAACAGAGAAAUAUAAGUGCUUAUCAGAAAAUUAAUAAUAAUAAUGAUAAAGUUAUUUCAAUGCUCUUACAUGCUAACAAAUUUUUGCCAUUUCCAUUCUACACAAAUGACACAAAAGUUACUAUGGAAAAAAAUCAGAUAUAAGGAAUUCUGCACUCGUAUUAGCUAGACAUGAUAAAAAUUUGAUGCUCUCCUCUGCUCAAAAGUUUUGGCAUUCUUUAAGGAAAUGACGCAAAAAGUGAAUCUGGAAGAACCAUGAUAGUGCAAAAAAUUCCUUCCACUAAAUAGCUACAUAUGAUAAAGCAAUACUUGCAAUAAAAGGUAGCAAUAAUAAUACCGGGUAUUAUGAAAAAAAAAUUAAUGAAAACAUAAAGCAGAGAAAUUUUGCUGAAACUAACCAAAUAGACAACCAGGAAACCGAAAAUAAGAGGGCAACUAAAAGAGAACACCUGAGCAUGUUCGGUGUAGCAAAAAUAAGAGAGAACCAAAAAUAAGAGGGUAACAAAAAUAGAACACCUGAACUAGUUUGGUGCAAAUCUAGCCAAGAAAUGCAGAUCCUAUACUAGGACAUAUGUCAUGAUUCAACAUUAGUGGUUCACCAAGUUACAUUAUCUCAAUAAGAGACAGGCCAACCAGAUUUUUUUUUUAAAAAAAAAGGGAACUCCAAUUUCAAAUCGCACUUGUUGAAUUGUGAAGUUGAUACAGUUCCGGUUUAGGUCAUUUCAGCUGAUGAAUGAUCUUUGAUGCAUGAGAUCCAGAGACAAAGCUUUGAGAGCUCAUAUGGCUCCAUUCUAAAUUAUCAAUUGUCGGAUUUGAUACAGAUUUAUAAAGCAGUAUUACAGCAAGAAAGAGACUGAAAAUUGCCCAGAACCCUAUUGAGCACCAUAGACCUAUGUAAACUGAGUUCAGAAAGCACUCAACUAGAACUAACCAAACAAGGACCUAGCCGCUCCCUUACUGAAGACCAAAUGUGGUUAAUAACUGAAUCACUAAAGCUGCUGGCAGGAAAAUCUUUUAUACCAAAAUUUGUAAAUCAGUUUCUAGCAAUUCAUCAACCAACCUGAAGCCAUAUGCAGAGAACCUAAAACUGGAACAACAGUUCUAAUCGAUCUAAUCUUCUUCUAUUCAGGUCCAUAGAUAGUAACAUAAACCUAGGAUUACAAACCAAAUGCAACAGAAAAUAGCAGCUCCUAAGGUAAUGAUACUUUUUGAGAAAACAAAUGAUUACUACCAACUUCAGGGAUAUGAUUCCCAUGGAUCAGAUUGAAGAAUUGUGAAACAAGAUAAACAUACUUGUUCUGCCCUUUUGUGUACAGGAGAAGUUGAUCAAAGACCAAAUCAGCCAAGUCUGCCAGGUGUUCGCUGAUGUAACUGAGAGACCGCACAAUAACUGCGUUUGAUGGCUCUGCAAAGAGUUUGUCUAACAAUGCACUGAUCAUCACGUUCCAAUCUUCAACCUGAAAAUUUUCAUUCACCUAAACUCAUUUACACUGGAAAUCCAAAUAUAAGCACUUCAACAUUUGGUGCAAAAGGCAACGGAAAAGGAAUCAUACAAGUCAGUAUUGCCAAAACAGGUGCUAUGCAACUAUCUGACAACCUUUGGUAUUCUACCUAUGUGAACAUUUUGAGCGAAUGCAUGUGCCCAACAGAUUUUCAGCAAAAAAGCUGCGUACAGUAUUACUCAAUAUUUUUUAUGAGAAAUGAAUGGAAAGGAAAGGGUGCAGGAACUGCAAUUUUGAUGCUAACUUCAAAAAAUAAAUAAAUUACCAAAAGGGCAGUAUAUGAAUGAGAUGGGUAGCACUUGAAAGAAAGAAGCAUAAGAAGAAUAUGGAUGGAAAGUAAUGGAUAAGAGACCAACCCACGAGUGUGCUCAUGUGCUUUAGGGACUGUAAACAGUGUAUGUCACACUUGUUUAGGAUAAAAAGCUACAGUAUGCUGAAUCAUAAGAUGCUCAGAAACAAAUAAAAGCUUCUUAGCCGUAAAUGGAAAACAUGCCUAAAGAAUUGCAGAAGAUUGAUGACAGUUCUAAGAGGAAAAAGCAUCUUUCAAGAGGACGAAGAUGAGAGAGAGGCUGGGAGACCUUCACAUUGGCAGCCAGAAAGGCCACACUGUAACCGAUAAACAUACAAAAUGGGACUUACAAGCAACAAGUGAUGGAAACCAAGAAUCUCUCAAAGCCUAAUUUUCACAAACGAAAACCAUUAACUUGCAGAAAACAACUGAGAUUAUACAAGUUAACCAAAACGAAGCCAAUGAAUUGGCUGCAGAACUCAAAUUUGAAAAAUUCAGACUUACACGCGGGAGAGAGAGAGAUAGAGAGAGAGAGAGACGAUAAAUGAAAUGGAACAUAGCAUCAUAACUCAUCCGAUACAGUUGCAUCUACUCCAUGAUCUAUUUACAGCUUCAGAUCAUUAGUCAGACAGAGAGGUUAAAUUUUCCCCUAAUCAUGCCCUAACUUCUUUGCAACUCUCUACUUGUUUAUAACUCUAUCCUACAUAACACUACCAAAUUUGAGAGUUCCAUAGAUAGAAGCACCGUGGCUUGUGCAAAAACAAGGAUCAUAGAGUUAAGAAACCAAGCAGCCAGAACUAAAUUUUACUUGACAGAUAAACCAACAAGAGGUAUUCCGCGCUGGUUACAAGAUGGAAUCGUGUCCUGUCCUACAACCAAGGAAAAUUUUUAAAGUCUUUGAAUAUGAAAUUUAGUCCUUGCCAUGUAUCAUGUAUCUACAUAAACUAUGCUUCAGCGUUGUACAAAGACCUCAAGUUUCCACAAUACAAAGAACUAUGCAUGUUGAUUGUGAAUUCCUCUCUACAAUGUAGAAAUGCAGAAAAGCAUUGCAAGAUGCUAUUAAUGCAUCAUCAGAUAUUCAGAUGUUAUUUGUGCACUAGGCCUUAGGAUUUUGUCCUUGAGACACCUUAAAAGGUGUGACAAUGUGAUAUCUGACCCUACUUCCAUACAUCACCACAACCUCCCAUUCAAGGAUGGCUGCAUGAAAAAGCCAUUACCCUAUAAUAUGUACUUCUCUUCUGGUGAUCAAAUACAUGUAAAUAGAUGAGAUAUCAUCCACAUUAUCCUAUUUCAAUCCACAACUUUGUCCUUUAAAAACACACAAGCUUCACCCUUUCACUAACAAUAUGGAAGGCAUGGUCUCCAUACAUCAUGCAAUUUUUUAAGCAAACCAAUUACAUAGUACAUUCAAAUUUCUGGAUAAACAAGCUCAAAUGCACAUUAUCUUCUGUGAUCGUGAGAUGUCUCCAAGGCUCAGGAAAACAGUCAGAGUGAAUAGUAAGAAAAGCACAUGAAAUGGCCUAAUUGGCACAAGGCAAUGUGCCAUCCAUGAAAGGGGGCAAGUCAUGGCUGGCGCUAUGUGCUAAAUGGCAAGCAGCCUGACUGCAACGUUAUGUGAAAUCGAGCAAUCGAUACGAAAGGUUACAACAAAAUUAACUGUCAUUUGAAAGGGCAUGGGCAUCCUUCUUGGCACUAAAUAAGUAGGAUCCCUGUCGCAGGUCAAAUUUUUGGUUUAUAUAAGAGGUAGGGAAAAAAGAAAAGACAGAUCUAGCACUGAGUCAAACACAGCAUCAACCCAAAAGAUUAAAUGUUGUUCUGAGUUUCUUCCACUUUUCAGACAGGAAGCGAGAAUUGUACGACUGCUAUUGCACUACAUAGACAAGAUGAUUAUAACACAAUAUAUACUUUAACGGCAUUAGCAUACAUCAAGGAAAACCUUUAGCAUCAACAACCCCAUUGCAAUUUAAAUUGAUGGGUAAGGAAGUGAGAAAAGAAGCUACCUAAAAAUAAAAAGAACAUAAGCAACAAACUAUACUAAGUACAUAUGAAAAACACUUUAAAGAUUACAGGAUAACAAACUUACCAGUUUUGACCACUCUGGUAACAGCUUUAGCACCCUAUCACUGUCCAAUUUUGCUCCUAAUAGAAUAAAAACAAAAACACACUUUUGAGAGGGCGAAAGAAACAAAGAGGUAAGCAAAUAAGCACAAAACUAAUUGGUAAGAUAAGUCCCUUUUUCUCAUUAUUACCAUGUGCUUGCCUAGAGAACUUUGUUCAAGUAGCAUUAUUUGGAAUCAUUAAUUCUUCACUGAUGUUAAAAACGCUUACCAUAGAAAGUGAACAAGUUCUAAAGCAUAGGAUUCAAUCAUAGGCUCACUUACAUUAAUUCAAAAGCAAGAAAAACACAAGUAUAUGCAACAGAGCCACUCAAUCUAACAUCAAGUGCCAAUGUUUUACUUCACCACACAGGAACUGGAUAUAAAUAUUGAACAUGGUUCAACAAACAACUUGACCAAAAUUCCCUGUCCAACAAGAACAAGCUCAAGCUCUGCAGAAAUCUGAUUAUACUUCCCAACAUGAAGUCCAUCUCCAUUCAUCGUCCCAAUAGACACGAACUCACAGUGUGUUUCAGCACUAAGAACAUGCUACAAGUAAUUCUCAAGCAUACCCAAUUGAACUAUCAAACUGCAGCUGGAAAAAUACUUCAGACAUAUGCCAGAUGCAUCUAUGAUGUUAUGGAACAAAGUCAAUAAAGAAGAACCGUACACAGAAAUUUCUCAAGAUACAAACUGAAAAUGAACAACCUACAACAAAGGCAGAGUACCUGGAGCCAAAAAGAUAUGGAGACAGUACAAAACACGGUACCAGAUGAAGAAAAGAGGCACAGUAUCCAAACAUAGCUACAGGUAAUGACAACUAGCCAUCAGUACUCCUUAGAGCUCUAGUAUUCCCCAGUCUACAAAUGCCUAACAGCACAUAGAUUAACCUUUAAGUUCACUGAUGGGAGACAUCAAUCAGGAUUAGCUGGUUUCUUACAGUUAAGGGUUUUAAGAUAGAGAAGGGGCUUUGCAUUUCAAUAUUGUGGCAACACCCUUUCCUAAAGCAGCCCAUGGUGCCUUCCUUCUUACUAUUCUUCGUACUCAGAAUGGUGCCCAGCCCUCUAAUUCACACCCAGACAUAGGCAAUAUACACCACCUACAAUUUAAGUGUGGUGUUGCAUCAUGCAACAAUUUUAUUAUUACAGCAAAGUAUGUAACAUCUCAUGGCACUGUGUCCACCCAAACAUUUUCUUUGAAAAUAUAGUCGAUGACUUUUCUUUAAUCAGUUACCUAAUCAUCAAGACCUACGAUGGCACUUAGUAGCAUCUCACUUCCAUUAUGACUAAUGAUCUUUAAGAUCAACAAAGAAUCACAGUACAUAUCACACACGUUCCCUUGAUCAAAAGGCAAAAAGAAGAUAUAUUAAGAAAGGAACAAAAACCAAAAAACAAAGAAAAAAUGAACACCUUGUGCAUCUCCUGUGGCAUCAGGAUCUGAAGUGUUGCAGAGAUUGCUGCACAUGUCAAUAUUAACCAUUAUGAAAGUACAUACAAAAAAGAAGAAUACACUUUGAAAGCUAGAAGUUCCGGCAUAGUGCUUUGUAAAUUCUUCCAUUUCUCUUUUUUCCCUUUGUUUGCUUUCUAGUUGGGUGGAGAGACAGAGACGCAAAGUUCAUCAUUUAGACAUCCAAACUCCAAAUUAGAAAUGAUUAAACAAAUUAAAUGAUAUCUUGUAAAUUGCAUGAUAUUGGACAUGCCUCAAAAGUAAUCUAUAAAGUCUAUUGAUAGAAAGAGUAAUUGCAAAGAGAAAUAUUAUCUAAAGUACAAAGUAGACACUUCAAAAGCCUUAGCCACAAGUGCAGAAUUUCAGAUUAAUAAUUUCAUUGGCGCCCAAAAAUAAUAAUAAUUUCAUUGGCUCUUUUGAUAAUAAGAUGAAUACAAAUAUCUUUCUAUUAGAUUAAGCUUUAGAGGCAAAGUAUGUCAAUGAUAUUAAUGCUAAAAACAGAACAAACCUAACACGUUUGCCCUUCUUCUCCCAAGAAGUCUUCUUAUUAAAGCAAAAAACUACAUGAUUGGCCAAUAAACAUACAAAUUACUAAAAAAAAAAGGUUUCCUGUUUUGCCAAUUCACUUUACAGCAGCCAGCUCCUCCUUGAUUUUUGGAUUCAUUCAAUGCAUCCCAAAAAGAAAAUGUACUCUCUGAACACACUGUGCUUUUCAGGGUGAAAGAUAAGAAUAGGCAGAAAUUAUUGAACCUUAAUUGCAGCAAAAAGAUUGAUGCAUACCCAAGACAAUCAAGCAGCAAGCACAAUACUUCAGGUUCUUCCUUGUGAGUUUUCAGCACUACUAAUAACGUCUCACUUGCCAAGGACUGUACCCUUUCAUUUGAUGUGUAAAUAAGACGAACUAGAGCAGGCAAAGUUAGUGAUGGAUCUGCAGAAAUAAAGAAUAGAUUGAUCAAUGAAUACAAGCCGAGAGGGACAUCCGACAACUUCAAGAAAUAUGGGAGUUUGGACCACAUUACAGAAAAGUUACAUCUUCUUUGGCUUUCAUCUUGGUGCUGUCUACAAAUCAAUAAAUGAUGUUCCCUAACCCAGAGGGAAAAAAACUCAACAAAAAGAACAUAUAGGAGAAGCCAGGAUCCACACUCUAAACAAAUUGAAACAAGUUAACAGGAUUCUACAAAAGAGGAAGCAUAACAUUGUGAUUGAAAAGAUUGCCAAGGAGAAUGCUGAAAAUGGUAAAAAAGGGACAACGGAUUAUAAUUUGGUGCCUGGAUGUUAUAACUACAAGUGAUUCCUCCAAUCUGGUCUUAGAAAUGCAUAGGCAAAAUAACUAGCUUCAAAAUUUUUAAAAGAACACUUGUCAGACCAUGAGAUUCCAGACUUAGAAGAGCGGGAAAAAAAAAAGUACAUGAUCAAUAAUUCUUUGUGAAAGUUUAUUCAGAAGCAUAAAGUUACAAGGUCUUAGGCAUCAAGGGACAUGUGAUGUUAGAAUAUUGCUUAGGAUUUAGCUUAUUUAUCUUCUAUAAUUACCAAGAUAUUAAUCACAUGAAUGGAUAAACUAAACAAGCCAUAAUGCCGUAACCAUAUACAGCUCAUUGAACAACCAGAACAAAAUUAAAAGGCAAUUAGAUAACCAAUCCUAUUUAAAAAAAUUACAUUGCACAGGCAUUGUAGUCCUUGCAGCUCCAUACAAGAAAACGAGAAGCAGACUUUAAAAAAGAAAAAGAAUCAUCAAAACAUUGAAAUGUCGGAACAUGAACAAUUGUUGUCUUCCAAAGGAAUGAGGAUAAACCAAAGCAAAGACAAGCCAGCAGAGGAAAUUAGUAAAUGUUGGAAGGAGAAACAAACUAAAAGAUCAAGCGCUGCUGAACAGAAUUAGGUAACAUAGAAAGAAGGACAUUCUUCAAGCCCUCUGGCUUUGGGCUUAGUGACAUAACAUGACAUGCUACUUCUUUGAUGCUUCAAAGAGUUGACAACAAACAAAUGUCAUAUUCAAGAACCAUUAAUAGUGAAACCUGGGCACGAGGCGAAAUCUCUACUAUAAUAUCCCAAAGCUUUUUCACCAAGAUGUGAAAAUAUAAAUUUUAAAUAAACAAAUAUAACCCUUAACUCUCCAAAUAUUUGAUUUGCACCAAAUAGUAAAUAAAUAAAAUGAUUAAAAAAAAUGCUCCAAGUUUGAAAAUGCACUUCAAUGUUUUCAAACUGACCAAUUACAGGAAGCAGUGCAGAUGCUCGUGUUCGAAUAACUAGUUCUUCAUCACCAAGGCAUUCCAACAAGUGAUCUGCUAUAUCUUGCCUGUGAAUUCAGAAAGACCGAAGUGUCAAUUAAGGAGUUGAGGGGGGAGGGGGGAAUGCUAAAAACCCUUCACAAAAGUCUUGUACCACAUCUGAUCUGAAAGUGAGCUACUAGACUCUAAUGAUAUGUCUAUAAGAUCUGAGAUAACAUCAAUAGCAUUCAUCCUCUGUGGAAAGUUUCCAGAAGUCAGCCCUUUCAGAACAUUUUGGAGACGACAAUUGUCUGAGCGCCUGGCAUGUACAAAUGAGGAAGAAAGCUUAGAAGUUCAAACCCAAAAUGAAUGUCAAAGGAAGUGAAUCAGGAAACUUAGUUGGGCCUACACAGAACAAUAUUCUGCAACAAGCUUGACAACAGCUUUUGCAGCACUAUCCUGCUCAUCCAGAAGAUGUAUUAACAUUGGCAGAACAGAAUCCAUCUCUCUCCUAUUGGCAUUAUAGUCCCCAGAUGAAGUAUACUGCAUCCUAAAGAUGGCAGCUUUGAAGAUGUACACAGCGCUAUCAAUUACUUCCACAUCAGCACAGCGAAACUACAAAAAAUCCAACAUAUUAGUUCCACUAACAAGUUUGGUAGAUUCCAAACAGCAUAGGACUUCUCUAUAUCUCCACAUAGGGGUUCAUAAUUGUAUCCAUUUAAUCAACUUCAAGCCAAGGUAUAUGAUAUAUUAAAGCCACAGGAGCAAUUAAUAACCAGAGGGUCAAAAUCAAAGUAGCAAAUUUACUCUUGCAAUUGGUUUCCGGUUUCCACAAUUCAGGUAAACAACUAAUAUGCUAUAACAAGCAUUUUAAGUUUAUGUUGAUGUUAAAGAAGCUUUUCCAUGCAGAGGGUCAAUUCACUUGGGUUCCAUUCAUCAUGUAGAAAAUUUUCCCACAAGGUCCAUAUCAUCUUUCUGACUCCUUUCCAUCACAUAAAUCAUUAACUCAGGGUGUUUCAAAACACUUUAGGACCUUUCCACUAACAACAGAAAGGUCAAGGUGUGACUCAAGCUGUCACAACAUUUCCCAGACUUUGUGAUACAGCACCAGUUUAACUGUUGGGAACCUUUGAAGCAUUCAAAUGCUGUAUAAUGUCAUUUAAUUGUUCCUCCAAGCAUUUCAGAGACCAUUUCAAGAAAGUUCAAAAAGUUUCUUACCAAUGGGAAACGACCCACUAGAUUUCAAAUGCUUUAUUGAGAUUUCUACAAGCCAUCCGUGGGUAACCCCAACUAAGAACUGCUUUAAGCAAGUCAACUAGUGUCUCAUUCAUCAUUUGACCACAUAAAAUGAGUCAAUAACUAGAAGCAUUCGUUAGAUAAAAUCAUCAUGACACCUAAAAAAUAUUCUGCAAAGAAAUUUUUAAGGUGAUGAAUAAAUUUAACCACAAAAAGAUGAUAAUUAAGAACUGCUUUAAGCACGUCAAACAGUGUCUCAUUCAUCAUUUGAGCACAUAAAAUGAGUCAAUGACUAGAACCAUUCGUUAGAUAAAAUCAUCAUGACACCUAAAAAAUAUUCUGCAAAGAAAUUUUUAAGGCGAUGAAUAAAUUUAACCACAAAAAGAAGGUGAUAAUUAAACAGAGGAAGCUAAAUUAAUUUUUCUUUUGCAAUCUUCUUUUUUAACUAUGAAAUAACUCCACUAGAUGUCAAUACUCUGCACUUGCAGUGCAUAUAUGGAUAACUGAACUAAUCUACUUACCGACUCCACUAGAUAUUCAAUACUCUGCACUUGCAAAACAUAUUCGCAACUAAACUAAUCUACUUACCAACUAAAACGUAUCUUCCAUAAACAUGGUCCACAAAUCAGGACUUUAGACUGUUAGGAGAAUAUAAGUAUUCUUGUAGAUAAUAAAUUAAUAAGGGUAUUCUUGUAAAUAGAUUGUUAGGUUUUUACUCCUAUAAAUACUAGUUGGUCACUCAUAAUACAGUGACUAGAUGUUUUCCCUCCAAAAUACUUGUUCUCAUGAUAUCAGAGCUAAAGUCCUAGGGUUAGGGUUAAACAUCUAGCAAGAGUCUUGUUCGCGCGAUAUUGUUUAUCGCAUUAUUGUUCAUCACAUACUGUUCAAGCGACCGUUCAAAAAAAUACUGUUCACACGAUACUGUUCACUCAUAAUGUUCAUCACAACUGUUCAAAAAUACUGUUCAUGAGACACUGUUCAUCAUGACUGUUCACUGUUCAUCUCGAGUUUUGAUCCUUUUUUUUGGUUUGAAGUGCUAUUCGCUAUGGUUGAAAGUUUUGCUAAUGUGGUUACUAUUGACCAAGUUGAAUCAAGUUCUUCAGCACAUGAGUCCCAGAAGACUUUUAUUAUAUCCGAGGAAGAUUAUAUUAAAUUCCUACAGUACCAAGCUACAAAUCAUGCAUCUCUUCCCUCUGCUUCUUUAGCACAAAAAGGUAAUGACUUAUGGAUUAUUGACUCCGGAGCUACUGAUCAUAUGUCAGGUACCUCUAAAAAUUUUUAUAAUUUUCAAGUCUACUUCCUUUUCUCAUAUUACUUUAGCUGGUGGAUCUACCACUAAAGUUAAAGGACUAGGCAUUGUAGAAGUUAACCCAUCUCUUCCGCUGUCUUCUGUUCUUUAUGUACCCAAUUUGCCCUUUAUUCUAAUGUUUGUUAGUAAGCUCACUAAAUCUCUAUAGUAUUCAGUUACUUUUUCUCCUGAUUUUGUUGUCAUUCAUGAUUUGAAGACAAAGAGGACGAUUGGUGGAGGGCAUGAGCAUAAUGAUCUUUAUUUUCUCAACUCCAAUGGUCCGAUUGCAUGUCUUACUACUGUUCCUCCUCUUGAAAUUCACUGUCAUUUGGGUCAUCCGUUUUUAUAAAAUUUGAAAAAGUUGGUUCCUACUUUGAGUCAGUUGUCUUCGUUAGAAUGUGAGUCUUGUCAGUUAGGAAAGCAUCAUCGUGUUUCUUUUGCUCCUAGAGUCAAUAAACGAGUUUUUGAACCCUUUAUGCUAGUUCAUUUUGAUGCUUGGGGUCCUAGUCGAGUUGCUUCAAAGUUAGAUUUUAAAUUUUUUGUAAUCUUUGUUGAUGAUUUUUCAAGAGUUAGAUGGCUUUAUUUAAUGAAAAAUUGUUUAGAACUAUAUUUCAUUUUUUGUGUAUUUGUUACAGAAAUAAAGAAUCAAUUUGAUGUGCCUGUACAUAUACUUCGCAGUGAUAAUGUGAUCCUUUUAAUACCUUUAUGACUAAAUCCGGUAUUAUUCAUCAGUUCUCCUAUCCUCACACUCCACAACAGAAUGGAGUUACUGAAAGAAAAAUUGGACAUUUAAUCGAGGUUGCUCGACACUUUUGUUGCACAUGAAUGAUUGAAUGUGCCCAAACAAUUUUGGAGUGAUGCAUUUCUAACUGCAUGUUAUUUAAUUAAUCGCAUGCCAUCUAAUAUUCUUGGAGGCCAAUUACCUCACUUCGUUCUUUUUCCUCAUGAAUCUGUGUUUAAAUUACCUCCUCGUAUUUUUUGAUGUAUGUGUUUUGUUCAUCAGCUAGCUCCCGGGGUGGAUAAAUUAGAUCCUCCUGCUAUUAAGUGUAUUUUCUUAGGAUACGCACGAGCGCAAAAAGGGUAUAGAUGUUACAAUCCAAUUUUAAAUCGAUUUUUUACUUGUGUUGAUGUUACUUUCUUUGAAUCCACUCCAUAUUUUAUGAAACACGGUGUGCCUCGUGAGUUAGACCAGUAUCCGUCUUUUUCCUCUCCUGUUUUACCUGUCCCUUUCUCUUUAUUACCUGAGUUAUCUAGUCCACCAGAUUCCAUAGCUCGAUUAUCUCGUCCUAAUUUUCAAGUUUAUUCUCGUCGUUCCAUGGUUAAGCAAGUUUCUAAUAUGUCACGCACUUCACCAAUUAACUCUCAACCUUCAAAUCCAGGUAUGACGCCCUCCUCUGAGUUAGAUCUUCCUAUUGCUUUACGCAAAGGUAAGAAGCAUUGUACUUCUCAUCCUAUUUUUAAUUUUGUUUCUUAUUCUCGUCUCUCUAUGUCAUAUUCUUCUUUUGUUGCUUCUCUUGAUUCUGUCUCUAUUCCUAAGUUUAUUACUCAUGCUCUUAAUCACCCUGAUUGGAGAUUAGUUAUGCAAGAAGAGAUGUCUGCUUUGGAACAAAAUAGUACUUGGGAUCUUGUCCCUCUUCCUUUUGAUAAGCCUGUUGUUGGUUAUAAAAGGGUGUACACUAUAAAAGUGCAGCCUAAUAGUUUUAUUGAUAGAUUGAAGGCUCGUGUGGUAGCUAGAGGAUUUACUCAGGUGUAUGGAAUAGACUACUUAGAAACAUUUUCUCCUAUUGCAAAGAUUACCUCGGUUCGUCUUCUUAUCUCUUUGACAGCAACUUAUAAUUGGCCAUUACAUUAGUUGAAUGUGAAAAAUGCAUUUCUACAUGGAGAUUUGGAAAAAGAGGUAUAUAUAUAGAAUAACCUCCUGAUUUUGUUGUUCAGGAGGAGAAUUCGCGAUUGGUUUGUCGUUUGAAAAAAUUCUUAUAUGGAUUGAAACAGUCUCCGAGGGUUUGGUUCGGCCGGUUUAGUAGUGUUGUCAUGGAAUUUGGUCUGACAAGAUGUGAAGUAGAUCACUCUGUAUUUUAUCGGCAUUCUAAUGCUGGUAAAAUCUUAUUAGUUGUUUAUGUGGAUGAUAUUGUGAUUACAGGUGAUGAUGCUGUGGGGAUCCAGAAACUUAAAUCCAAUCUGUAGGCAAACUUUCAAACAAAAGAUUUAGGUCAUCUACAGUAUUUUCUGGAUAUUGAGGUAGUUCGGUCUAAAUAUGGGAUUUAUUUAUGUCAAAGAAAAUAUGUACUCAAUAUGCUGAGUGAAAUUGGGAUGUUAGGUUGCGACCUGUGGAUACUCCUAUGGAUCCUUAUGUAAAAUUAGUAGCAGAUCAAGGUAUAUUACUAGAUGAUCCUAAGCAAUAUCGAAGACUUCUGGGUAAAUUAAAUUAUCUCACUGUAACGAGACCUGAUAUUUCGUUUGUAGUGAGUGUUGUGAGUCAAUUUCUUGAUACCUCUCGUACUAGUCAUCGGAAUGCUAUUAUACGGAUUCUCAAGUAUCUUAAGAAUGCUCCUGGAAAAGGGUUGCUGUAUAAAAUCAUAGACACACUGAUGUUGAAGGAUAUAGUGAUGCAGAUUGGGCUGGUUCUGCUUCAAAUCGAAAAUUGACCACAGGAUAUUGUGUGUUUGUUGGCGGUAAUUUAGUGUCGUGGAAGAGUAAGAAGCAAACAGUUGUCUUCAAAUCAAGUGUAGAAUCUGAAUACCGUACUAUGGCUCACGCUCUGUGUGAGUUGGUUUGGUUGAAGAGCGUGUUACUUGAAAUUGGGUUUGAACAUAAACAGCCUAUGAAUUUAGUGUGUCAUAAUCAGGCGGCUGUUCAUAUUGCGUCUAAUCCAGUGUUUCAUGAAAGGACAAAACAUAUUGAAGUUGAUUGUCAUUUCUUUCGAGAAAAAUUGCUUGACAGAAUUAUCAAGACGUCUCAUAUACCGUCUGUAGAUCAAUUGGCUGAUUUGUUUACCAAGAGUUUAGGGAAUUCUAGGAUGAAAUACAUUUGUAACAAGUUGGGUGCUUAUGAUAUAUAUGCUCCAACUUAAGGGGGAGUGUUAGGAGAAUAUAAGUAUUCUUGUAGAUAAUAAAUUAGUAAGGGUAUUCUUGUAAAUAAUUUGAUAGGUUUUUACUCCUAUAAAUACUAGUUGGUCACUCAUAAUACAGUGACUAGAUGUUUUUCCUCCAAGAUACCUGUUCUCAUAGACAACAAUACUUUUCAACACAAUGCAAGCGAAAUAGUUUCCCAUCUUAUCCUAAAUCUCUUUUAAAUAGUGUCUUUAUUUUUUCACAAAAUAUUAUUAUUUUAUGUUAUUAAUAAUCGCCCAUUGCCUUUCUCAAAGAACAUUAGUAUAACUAAGACGUCAAGUUCUCUAAGAUAUUUGUUUUUUCAAUGUAGAAGCAGUAGCAUACGGGAGUUCAUAUAUGUAAAAGUAUGGAAAUGAGAGUUUCCUGGCAAUUCUUGCAGAGGAAAGGCAGACAGAAUAUCAAAAGCACUCUUAACGCAUAUAAUCACAUAACAAGCUUCAUGCUUAAGUCAUCAGAGUUUUUGUAAGCCCAUUUAAAACAUCCAUAAUUUUUUUGUUUUCAUCAAGACUGUUAAUCCUUAAAGAUAGGAAAGCAAUUGAAAUUUAGUCUUUUCCUACAAAGUAACUUUUUUUUAGGGUUUUUGGGGGUGGGGGAAGGUUGGGGGGAGGGGAGAAAAAUCUAUAAUUAAAAGGAAUUUCUUUUGAGCUUGCAUACAUUUGUAUUUAAAUGUUUCUUUAACUUAAUAAAUGGAUCAAAAACUUAUAGCCUGACACAGAAUCCCUGCUUUUGGCAGGCAACCCUUCCCUCUUCUGCUUUUAAAGAUAGGGAAGCUGAUAACAUGCAUGAUGAAAUAAUUGCUUCAGUUUGGUAUCAUCAAAUGCUACCUGGGAAAUAAGAACCUCGGACAGCAGGGAUCCAUUUUCAGCCAGUGCAGUUUCAAGUUGCUUCUCAUGUAACCGACCUAGCAGAAGAGAGAGGCAGUUCAUAAAGAACUUUAUGGUCUCAAUUGCACUAUCUUUAUCUGCAGCAGGUCCAUGGGCAUGGUUGUCUGCAUAAAACUGCAUUAACAAACGCCAAAGAUUAAAAAGGGAAAAAUGUAUGCAAGAGAAGAGGAGAGAUCUCAGAUACUUGUACUAGGAUUACUGUGGUGCCAUUUACCUUAAUUCCAGAUAAGUACUCAUCCAACAAUCCUUUGUAUUGGCGAGAAAAGUUGCAAUCUUCCAAGUGUGACAGCAUGCCAUAAUGUUUCCAACAAGAUGAGAGAAGCAAUACUCCAGUCUUCAACAUUUGCAUGUCUGCCUUCAACAUUGUCAGGAUACAAAUGGAGCAGAAAUUAAAAGAAGAAAAAAAUGAUGAGAAAAAUUUAACAAACUUGCUAACCGCCUGCCUCAUUUUGACAGCAAACAUAUCGUGUUUGAGUGGCCUGUAACCACUUAAAUACCCUCUCCAACCCCCUUGAAUGCAAUGACCUGCUUUUUCUGCUCCACUGUAUACAAUAAAAGCUCUAUUGAGAGACUUUUAAUCUUUCAAAUGGUCAACAAGUAAGCAACUCAAAACCUAUAAAGGUACAAAUAACAAACACGAACCAACCCGAAUUAAAAAAGAUUGGGUGCAUAAUUCUUGGCAAUUCUCGGCAUCACAAGAGAAUAACCAUAGCCAAAUAAAAAUAAAACUGUCGAAUAUCAUCUAAAAUAGCACCAGAAACAAAAAUCAACUUCGAUUUCUCAUGUAGGCUAAGAUGAUAAGAAUAAAACUCAGCCCGACUCUUGUUUCUCCUAUUAAUUCCAAACUCUUGAUUAGCAACUUGCAUGGUAAUCAAGGCACUUAACUACCUUUCCACAAAUCCUAAUGACAUUUUAAAUUUGUCCUCUACUGUUUCUAUCAAAACCCAGAUUCUUUAAGAAAACGUUUGCCAAAUUAUUAAAAAACUGCCGGUACUAAAGAAAAAGAUCCUCCAGAUCUUAUUGCAAGACCUGAGGGUGUUUGAUUACCCCAUUAAGUACUUAAUGAAAUAAAUGUUGUGUUUAAUAACAGAAUUCUCUUACCUCUGAAUACAUUAAGAGCUACAAUCUGCACAAAACUUUUAAGUGAAACUUUUGCCAAUAAAUUUGCUGAAUUUUCAAACCAAUAUAGCAGCAUUGACUGAAAAAUACCAUAUCACACACCCUCACACUUUCAAACGUGGGUUCUCUCUCUCUCUCCCCCCCCCCCCCCCAACACACACAUUCAUAAAUUGACAUAUACUCUUCUCCCUCUCUCAGAAAUACACGUUUCCUUCUCUAACACACACUUUCAAACAUAAUCUCCCUCUCAUGCACAGAAACAUGAAUUUUUCUUCUCUCAAAGCACACAUUUUUAAACACAUAGUCGUAAUAAACAAACAAACUUUUUAUCUAUUAGUAUUUAAGUUAUUGGUAUAAAAAAUUAAUAUCAAAACAAAACUAAUUUAAUAUAAAAUAAGCAUCAAAUUGGUGUUAACCCAUAUUAUAUGCUUGCAAUUCAGCUGGUUAUCAAACAGAUAUGAAUUAAUGAAUUCAGAAAAUUAAUACUCCAGCACUCAAAUUUCAGAGUCAGAUCUCAACCUUCUAUUUUCAGUUUUACCAAAUGCCCUAUAAUCAUCAGACAGAACUUGUCAACUAAUAAAUACAUAUAUCAUAUUAUAGCAUGAAACUUUUCAAUUAAAAACUUCAUAAACCGUUUUAUAAUUUCAAUCAAAGCCCAAAUUCCUCAACGAAUUACUUAACAAGUAUAUCAAACAACUUGCUAGUGAAGAAAAAGAUCCUCCCAUUAGAAGACUUAAAAUCAUCCAGAACUUGUAGAUUAAAAUCUUCAUAGACAGUUCCAUAGCAUGGUUCUUGAUGUUCAACAAUUACAAACUACAAGCAUUCAUACAGAACUUGGCAAUUACGAACUUCAUAUGCCAUCUUUUAACAUGAUCAUGUUAUGGCACUUCAUCAUCAACGAUUCAUUAAACAUGCACCUGUAGAGGUAUCGGCCAAUCUCAAAAACAUCAUACGCUAUCUCUCAAAUUUUAUAUUCUCUUUUUCAGAAGUCUAAAGCACCACUUUUCAAAUCAUUUGUUAUAUUCUACUAAGCAUAAAAAGUAGAGAUGAAAAUGAGCACAGAUUCAUGCAAAAAACUACCAAACAUGGUCAAGAUAUGAUAAAAAUUUGCUGUUUGCAAAAUGAGCUGAAAACAUACUGCUUUAAGCCUCCCAACAAGAACAAUCAGGUCGUCUAUAUGAUCCCAAAGCGACAAUUUUGGUCCCAUGUCCUUCAAGAUUACCAAAGCUUUUGUGUCUACCUUCACUUUUUCCUUGUCAGAAUCAACAUUUAGUAAAGAAACUGGCCGACCUCGAGAAUUUGAACUAAUUAGUUUUCCCUUGUCAUAGUCGGAUACCAGAUCCUUCCUUGUAAGUGCUACUGUAAGCGACAAAAUAAAAUCAGCUGAAGCAAUUGCAAGUCGAGUUGGAACCUCAAAUCCCCCCUGCAAAGUGCUAUACAGAAAGUGCUCAAACAUUACAAUUACAACCCAUUACACAAAAGCUAAUGAACUUAACAUAAAUUUGCCACUCAAGUAUUUGAACAUAGGAUAUAUAGCAUACCUUCCACUGCUUAUAAGGGUUGAAAGAUGUCUGAUACACGAACACAGAAUCUUCAAUAGUGCAGUGUACUUCUCCCAUAUUCCUGCAUUAGAAAAUAAAUUAACCUCUAUGGCUCUUUUUUUUUUUAAUAAAAGCAUCAAUGGCUCUAUCAAUUGCAAAAAGUGCAGUAGGCAUCUCAGUCAUCAAAAUGAAUUUCAAAUUUGCAUGAUGCUAAACACAAUGGCAUGGCCAUUGUAACUUUAAAUAAUAACAGUCCAAUCAUAACCAGUUUGCAUGACUUUUUGCACAACUUUGGAUCCUUCAGCUGAGUUGUUAGAUUCUCUCAUUAUUACUUUACAACCCAACACUUUGCUGUGCAUUGAAACUUAAGCAUGGCGACAAAACCAAACACCCUUCCAGUAAGGAAAUCAUCUGUUUUCAAUACUUUCGUUUUAUUUUAUUCUUUUAUCAUUUUACUACUAUUCUGAAACCAUAUGGUAUUAAACAUUUACAGCAAUCUGAAACCCUAUUAUCAUGCAUCAUGAAGUUAGUCUCACUGUUGCCUCAAUCCUCAUAUUUAACAAUCAGAAUUAACAAUCACAGACAUCACUCAGCAGCCAGCAAAGACAUCUAGCUCCACCACCAUUCUUUGAACAGCAGGCCUAAAUACGCCACCAAUGUCAUCAAACAAAGGAAAUGCAAUUACAUUAAGAUACGAGUAUAGCAUGAAAAAGGAACAACUGUAGUAAACAUCUAACAAAGGUAAAGAAAGAUAUGCUUCUUUUAGAAAAUCAAUCACCUAAUAAUGAUCUUACCAUUACUCAUAAGCUUAUUCAUGCUAAUCUCAUACUGUAUGAGAUCACGAGCAAGAAAACACCAGCCUAAGGCAAUAUAAUGGUCAUCUUUUCUCAAUAUAAUCUCUGCUAGAUUACUUGCAAGAGCCUGGAAAAGAACUUCAUCUUGAAAAAGCCAAUUGAGGAGCACCAUUGCCUGUUUGCUGUGUCUUGACUCCCUAAAUUUCAAAUACUGCAGGGAGAAAGUCAGGAAACAUAUAAAAUACACCGCAACAGAAUGUUAAUAAAUGGAUGUCAUAGACAUAUCAAAGAAUGGAUUAAAACACUACGAUUAAAAUACCAAAGAAACAAAAAAAGGCUUAAGGAAAAACCAAAAAGAUGAACUGAAGUACAGGAAUAUCUUCUUUUAUCCAUGAAAGGAAAAAAUUAACAUUUCCCAGAAUUACAUUGUUUGGAUACAAUGAUAACAUAAUUUUUACAACUAAGCUAAAUAUCAAUCGAGAAUCAGAUAAACAGACGACAUGGUAGAAAAUCCCCAAGAACCCGUAGAAAAGUGUGUAGAUAACAAUUUAAAGAAUUAAGCUAAAGUUCUAUUUUCUUGCAUACAAAAUCUUCGAGACAAGAGGUCCAGUAGAUCAUAUUAAUCUUAACUGGCUAAAAUUUCAAGAAAAAGCUCAAAAUUUUGAAAACAAGAAACUUAGAAUCCCAAACAGACAUGUUCAAUCAUGGGAACAAGAACUUCAUCCAAUGUGCCCUCCUUCUCAGCAGCAUCCCCAACGUACUUAUGCAGAAACAACAAUGACUGCUCCAAAGAAACUGAAAAUUAAAUAAAUAAAAAAAACCCAGAAAAAAAAAACAAGUAAAUGAACUGAUUAACUUAGUUAAAAUCACUAUUGCAGGAAAAAAAGGGCAAAUUUUGUUAGAUUACUGCUAAGAGGGGCUAGUUUAGGAGGGGAGUGAAGAUUGGAGAUUGCAUGUUGGAGCUUCUUGGGGCGAGCGUCGAGUAGCGUGUGCAUAACUCUGCCCAGUGUAGCGGAUACCAUUGAAUUCGAUUCUGCUACAAAGUUGGAGGAUGACGGUUUCAGCAUCAACUCUGGUUGUUCUUUCUCUUCCAUUGAUAAUAGAAUACUAACAGAUUCUGUAUUAUUGUGCUUGGUAGUACACUGUAAUAGCAGAAGAACUUCGAAUAGGCUAAUUGUAAAAUGGGGAGACCAGAGACGAGACGAGAAAAGAAGAGAAAGGGGAAAGGAUUUAGCGAUUUUAGUCUUGACUGUGUGAAGUGAAGUUUCGGUGUCUGGUAGCGCUGCAUGCUGAAGUCGUGUUAGGUUGGCACUACGGUAAAUUAGCUUUGUUUGGAUAGAAUAUUAUUCUAAACAAUUAUUUGAAAUAAUUACUGUGAUACUUGUUGUGAUGAGAUAAAAAAGUGAUUAAAAAUAUAAAAAAAUAAAUUAGCAAAUGUAUUUAUGAUGCAAGUGAAUUUUUUUUUUGAAAAAAUUUGCUAUCCAAACUCCUCUCUCCUCCACCCACUGCCAUCUCGCCUCCUCCCAAAAAAAAAAAAAUCUCUAUUUUUUUUUUUUACUUAACCUCCUCAAGAGAAAAAAAUUAUCCCUCCAUUAUGUUGAAUUUUUUUUCUUUAUUUGUGUUCUUCUUUUUUUUUAGCAAAUAAAUUUUCUUCCACCCAUUAGUUCAUUUUCUAAAUUUUGUACCAUCAAAUAAUUAAGUUUACAUAAAAUUACGUUCUACUAUUAUUUUAUUUUUAAAUAUAGGAGAUUCGACAUUACUUUGUAUUGUUUUCAUUUGUCAUAAUUCAUCCCAUCCAAAAAUUUACAAUGCCUACAUUUACUUAUAAUUAGUACUAGGGAGGACAGCCCGCGCGACACGUGGGAAUUUGGUGUUUGUGAUUCAAGAUAAUUAAUAAUUAUUGUUUAAUAUUUUAUAAUAUAGGAACUGAAGUAUGAUGAUUUUAUCAUGUGAUUUUAAUAGAAAAAUUAUAAGUUGCAUAGUGAGUCAAUAAAAAUAAUGUGCAAUAAGACAUCCUUAUCGUUAUAUUAUAUAAGAAUCCGUUGUGAUCAAAAGUUAUGUUUGAAUUUCAACUGCAAAGAUAAGGGUAGUUUGAAAAUGUAAGAAUGUUUGAGGUGCAAUUGAAAAGUAUUCAAAAGUCUCUUCUAAAACUUAUCCAAGAUGAUAAAACAUUUUAAAGUAUCAAUUGGACUUUUCAUCUCUCGAAUCUAUAUAUGUUCGUGAAAGAUCACUCAAGUAAUGCUUUUGAUUUCUCCCUCGACUUAAACUCAAGCUAAAUUAUCAAGUCAAGUUUAUCCAUCAAUCACUUUGCGUCCAAUCUAAUCUAAAAUAAUUUUAUUUUUUACUAACUAUUUAUAUAAUUUGGUGGGUAUAAUACGACUUAAUCACAUGUUUCUUACAGAGAUAAUAAUGCCAAAAAAUGAUAGAUAGAUAAGAAACUUAAGUGAUCUUUUUCAAAAUUUUGUAGAAACUAUUUAGAUUUGGUGUUUUUUGCUAGGGGCAUUUCUUUAUAAUCUCAUAAAUAAGUUCAAAUCUGCAUAAUUGUUAAAGAUUUAAAUUGAAACUAUCUUGAUUAUAAAAAAUUGGUGCAAACAAUAUUUUCUAAAUUUGAAAUUGUAGAAAAUGGUAAGUAAAAUCAGAAGAAAUUCCUCAUAUAAAUUUGAAUUGCAAACUAUAGGUAGAAACUGCUUAAUGAUAUUUUCUAAUGUUUACUUGUAUAAGUAUCCAAUAUAACAUCUCUACUUAAUUGACUCGUUUGAACUAUGGAUAAUAGUUGCAUCAAUCAAAUCAAGAAACAUUAUUUAUCAUUGUACAGCAUACAAUUAUGAGUAAAUGAAUUAAUACAAUGCAAUCAAAAUGGUGUUGUAGCUAAAGCAUUUAAACUCAUCAAGUUCCACUACAAAUUCUUUUACAUAGUAUAAAAAAUAAAUUUUUUGUAUUUGAAACUAUAUAAACAAUAUAAUACAAGAACGAGAUCAUAACAUGGAAUGCAAAUAGAGUGCAAAUGACAUCUUAGUACUAUGUAGCAUGAUUAAUUUUCUUUUUUAGUUUCAAUGAAGUACAAAAUUCUAAAUUAAUAAAUUUUACAAUCAUAAAAUUUUCAAUUAAAAUAAACACAAGUUGAAUUUCAAAUCAUAUUACAUGAAAAAAUAACUACUUGAACCAUAAUUGCUGGAAUGUAGUCAACAGAUCUCUAGAGUCAAUAAUAAUAGGAGAAAAUUCAUGAGAAAUAAGGUUAUUUGACUUAAAUAAAUAGAUAAUAUCUUGGCUGAGGAGGAAAAGAUGAUAAAAUUACUUUUUUGAUUAUUUUAGAAAGUGACAACAUUAUCUCAAAUUGUAUUUUGACAGAGACAGAAUCUCUGAAAUUUACUAAGAAAAACAAUACAAUUAAUUAGUUUUUAGAAUUAGAAAUAUCAAAUGGCAAACUAUAUGGAAUUCUUUAAUAAACCAAUCAUCAGAAAAAAAAAACUACAAUCGAAGAAGACAAAUCUAAAGAACUCACCUCAAUUUAAAGGAAAAACUAUGUAUUCCACCAAAUAUUUAAUAGUCAUAAUAAAAUUAAAGAGGUGAAACCGAAAAAGAAGAAAGGGUAUCGGCUAAACAUGGGAACAUAAAUAUGAUAAUGAUUGUUCAGAUAAUAAUUAAGUUAAUUAAUUAUAAUUAAAAUCCAAUUAUGUAAACAUCCAAUUAAUUUCUUAACGGAUGAGAAAGGUUUCAGGAAAUUGGAAGACUUGGAUGUUAGUAUAAUAAAUGAUUAAAAGAACUUUUAUGUAAUUCUAUCAAAAUACAAAACAAGUUUUAUUCAGUUGUACUUGAUACUCAACUUGGCACCAAACAUUGUAACAUACCAAAUCUGCCCCUAACCUUAAAUGUCUGAAAUGUUAUAUAAGUAAUUAUAGUGAAAUUAAAGUUAUAAUGACUUGUACUCAAUGUUCCAAUUACUCUUCAAAUACUCGCGCAUUUUUAAAAUAGUCUCACCUCUGUGGUUGAAAUAUAGUCCUAAACUCGUUCUUAUAUUUAAGGGAAAAGUUAUGCAUUCCACCAAAUAUUUAAUAGCCAUAAUAAAAUCAAAGAGGUGAAACCGAAAAAGAAGAAAGGAUAUCAGUUAAAUAUGGGGACAUAAAUAUGAUAAUGAUUGUUCAGAUAAUAAUUAAGUUAAUUAAUUGUAAUUAAAAUCCAAUUAUGUAAACAUUCAAUUAAUUUCUUAAUGGAUAAAAAAGGUUUUAAGAAAUUUGAAGGCUUCGAUGUUAAUAUAAUAAAUGAUUAAAAGGACUUUUAUGUAAUUCUAUCAAAAUACAAGCUUUAUUCAAUUGUAUUUGAUAUUCAACUUGACACCAAACAUUGUAACAUACCAAAUCUGCCCCUAAUCUUAAAUGUUUGAAAGGUUAUAUAAGUAAUUAUAGUGAAAUUAAAGCUAUAAUGACUUGUACUCAAUGUUCCAAUUACUCUUCAAGCACUCUCACAUUCCCAAAAUAGCAUCACCCCUGCGGUUGAAAUCUAGUCCUAAACUCGUUCUAUCAAAAUACAAGGUUUAUUCAAUUGUACCUGAUACUCAAUUUGGCACCAAACAUUGUAACAUACCAAACCUGCCCCUAACCUUAAAUGUCUGAAAGGUUAUAUAAGUAAUUAUAAUGAAAUUAAAACUAUAAUGACUUGUACUCAAUGUUCCAAUUAUUCUUCAAACACUCUCACAUUCCCAAAAUAGUCUCACCCUUGCGAUUGAAAUCUAAUAUCAAAUUCGUUCUUAUAUAGUAUAAGCAUAAGGAAAUUAUCAAUCAAUUAUAUUCUAAUUUAUUUUGUCCAUUUUUUUCAAUAUAAUAAAUUUUAAAAAAUUAUACUCUAUAUCCUUAUUAAAAAUUUCGAAAUAAAUUAUUCAUUUAUUACAAUCACAUUCACAUGCUAGUUAGUUGGACAUAUUUUUGUUCAUUUUCUUCUAAUGAAUUUUUUCUUGUUUGAUUAUUUUGUAUACAAUUCUUUAUAAGUAAUUAAAUAUUAAUAUUUUUUUCUAAUAAUUUUAUUUCACUCAUUUGCUACUUCACCACCAUGAAUUUUUUUUUUUGUUAUCGUCAAUUUAUCUAUAUUAUCCUACUCUAUCCUAAUCUAAAGGGAAGACAUGAAUGAACUUACAGGAAUCGAUGAGCAUCGAACUACUAUCAGACCAAAUCCCACCCCACGAAACCCUUCCCCACCAAAAAAAAAAAAAAAAAGCUUAGUAUGAAGGACUGCUAGUUUAAGCCAUGAGUUUAGUACAAUUGGCAAGAGGGUUGCUAAUACCAACAACAGAUCUAAUUUUUUUUUUAAGACCAACAACAAAUCUCAAAUUCAACUUUUAUAUGUAACGUCUUGAAAAGUUCUAAAUUAGGUUUUCACUCCAGAGUAAAAGUCUGGAUAAUUAGUGUCACUGAGGGUAGGGAUACGAUUACUCAAAGCUAAGGAAAAAAAAAAAAGACUGCUAGUCAAAGUGAGAUAAAAAUUAUAGCAUAAACUGUGAAUCUCACUAUAGUUUAAGGGGAGUUUCCUAAACUACACGAACGAUACAAAAUUACAAAUAAUAGGCUAAAAUAUUCACUAUGAGAAAAUCCCUCAAAUCCAAAUUCCACAAUUUCCCUCCAUUUUGUGUCUCUGUCCCUUCACUUCAGUCCGUACCAACGAACAGACGGUUGGUUCCCCAACACCAGCGCCUUUAGCUCCAGUUCCACCUUGUGAUGGUUCUCCCUCUCCUCCAAGAUCCACCCCAAUUCUCGCGCCCAUCACCACCUAUUCAGACCCUUCCCUAUAAACCUCCCAAAAACCCAUUAAACCAGCAAAGUUUUCAGGAGAACUUCAGGAUAAUAUGCAAUUUCUUGCUUUCCCUUACUCGCUCAGGCUCCCUUCUCAAAGGCCAAGCCUUGCAUUCCCACAUCGUCAAGUCUGGGAUUCAGAUAAUUCCAUUAGUUUCCCACCACUUAAUCAACUUGUAUUCAAAGCUUCAACGCCCAUUUGACUCCCAGUUUGUUUUCGAGGAAGCACCUUUUAAGUCAUCAACCACCUGGAGCUCUAUGAUUUCCACGUUUGCCCAAAAUGAUCUGCCUAUUUUAGCAUUAUCGUACUUCCGGGCAAUGCUUUAUAAUGGGUUUGCUCCAGAUGAGCAUAUUUUGCCUAGCGCUGUUAAGGCUUGUGCGAUCAUGAGUAGGCAUGAUGUUGGGAUGUCAAUGCAUUGUCUUGCAGUGAAAAAUGCAAUGAAUUUGGACGUGUAUGUUGGAAGUUCUUUGGUGGAUAUGUACGCAAAAUGUGCGGAAUUGGGGUAUGCGAGGAAGUUGUUUGACGAAAUGCCUGAGAGAAACAUUGUCUCGUGGAGUGGGAUGAUCUAUGGGUAUGCGCAGAUGGGGGAGGAUAAUGAAGCUUUGGGUCUUUUUAAGAGGGCGUUGGAGGGGGGUUUGAGUUUAAACGACUUUACCUUUUCAAGUGUGAUUCGUGUUUGUGGAAAUUCUACGUUGCUGGAGUUGGGGAGACAAAUGCAUAGCUUGUGUGUGAAGAUGAAUUGUGAUUCUUCGAGUUUUGUGGGAAGUUCUUUGAUAUCUCUGUACUCGAAGUGCGGCGUUGUAGAGAAUGCUUGUCAGGUUUUCAAUGAGGCAGUUGAUAAGAAUUUAGGAAUGUGGAAUUCAAUGUUGAUUGCUUGUGCUCAACAUGGACACACAAAGAAGGUGUUUGAGUUGUUUGGGAGAAUGAAGAGUUGUGGGAUGAAGCCAAAUUUUAUAACCAUUUUGUGUGUGCUUUAUGCGUGCAGUCAUGCGGGGCUAGUCAAAGAAGGUAACUACUAUUUUGGAUUAAUGAAGGAGUAUGGCAUUGAGCCAGGGGAUCAGCAUUAUGCUUCCAUGGUGGACUUGCUUGGGCGAGCUGGGAAAUUGGAGGAGGCUACGAAGCUUAUCAAGGAAAUGCCAAUUCAACCAACAGAAUCUGUAUGGGGAGCUCUACUGACCGGCUGCCGACUUCAUGGUAAUACUGAGUUGGCGGCCUAUGCAGCUGAUAGGAUCCUUGAAUUAGGUUCAGUAAGUUCAGGCUUUAACGUUCUGUUAUCAAAUGCUUAUGCAGCUGUUGGUAGGUAUGAAGAAGCGGCCAAAGCCAGAAAGAUGUUAAGGGAUCGAGGAGUGAAGAAAGAAACUGGUUUAAGUUGGGUUGAGGAAGGAAAUAAGGUCCAUACAUUUGCUGCAGGGGAAAGGCAACAUUUUAAAUCUAAGGAAAUUUAUGAAAAACUUGGGGAACUAGAGAAUGAAAUGGAGCUAGCUGGCUAUGUUAUGGACACCAGUCAAGUGUUGCGAGCAGUUGGCAAUGAAGAGAAGAGUGAAGCAAUUAGGUAUCAUAGUGAAAGAUUAGCUAUUGCAUUUGCACUAAUAACCUUUCCACCUGAAAGGCCAAUUAGAAUUAUGAAGAACUUGCGAGUUUGUGGUGAUUGUCACACAGCUAUUAAGUUUAUGUCGAAGUGCACCGGAAGAUUAAUCAUUGUGAGAGAUAACAAGCGGUUCCAUCAUUUUUCGGGUGGGGAAUGUUCCUGUGGUGAUUAUUGGUGAUAUUAAGUGGUAAGGAUUUCUACCUAAUUGGUUAUUUGUAAUAUUAAGUGAUAAUUAAUUGGUAAUCUCAUUCUCUGAAAAAAUAAAGGACCAAUAACAAGAAUAAUCAUUGCUACUUUCCAUUCAGAGAAAGUGUUCUUUUGGUCAAGUAAUUUCUUCUGAUUAAGAUGCUGAACUUGAUUAUUUUGAGGCUGGCAGGGUACCAGUGAAAGGUGUUGUAGGAGGAGAGAGGGACUUCAUGCAAGAUCUUUCUCUUUUCUCUGGUAGGGAACUUCAUGCCCUUAAUAAACAAGUGAAACCCUGUUUCUGAGAGGUUGCCCAUUUUUGGAUCAAAAGGCCAAUUUAGCACUUUUUUACAAGUAAAAUUCAUCAACUUCCAGCGUGAGAGUGAUUUAAUCCAGAAGGUACUCUCCCCCACCCCCCACCCGACCCCUUUCUCACUUCCAUGAGUUUCAACAAUAAUAGCCCGGCAGUUUUUUGAUUCAUUCAUGCAUACCAGUCUGUGAAGUUUUAACUUUGAGUACUUACUAAUGCUGGAGAUGCUCUCCUUAAGGUUGGGGAAAGCAGAAGUAUGAGAUUUGGAAGUUCCAGACUUCCAGUCCACCAUGUUAAUUAUCUGCAAGAUAGCACCGUCGGCCGUGUAGCUGCCUUGAGUUUACAAAUGCAAUGGCUGUUUGUUGUUGACUUGCAGCUUAUUCUGCUUACAAAAUGAUGAAGCCAAUUGGAUAUUCCAUUUUUUGAGACUGAGGUACUGUUUAAUUGUUAAUACUCUGUAUUAGUCAGUGUUGGUGCAUUGUACAAGAAGUCUGGCAUGGCAUUGAAGUUGCUUAGUCGUCAGAAAGCGAAAAGUUUUUGCUGAACUUGAAAAAGCAGGAGUUCAAAUUGUCUUUGCUGGAGCUUGCUGCUUGUAGAGUUUAAAAGAACUGGAGAGAUAUCAAGGUAUAAAAUGGAAACUCCUUUACUUUAGAAUAUGCAGUUCCAUCACAAAGUAAGGGCUGCCUUCCGCAAAAAGAUAAAAGCAAUGAUUUUUUUUUGGUAAAUAAAGGAAUGAUGCUACAAGUAGUUUAUAUUAUUGGUCUGAUACUUAGCAGUCCUUUUAAUAUGGAUUCCAGCAUUAUUGAAAUCAAUGAAAAAGUAUUUUGGAUCCCUCCAUAAUUGGUCUUUUCUGCUGUAGGUACCUACAUAAUUGCAGAAUAUGAUUUUUGAGACAUAAAUGGCAUGUGCGGAGGAUUUGGUACUUUUUUGCUUUAAGUUUUGGGCACAGGGCUGCAGAGUGAUUGCUAAGAUCACGGCAAGACGUGCAGAUCUAGAAGUGCAAGGUCUGCAAGAUCACCUUUCAUCAGGCAAUUCUUUUGUGUUCUACCCAAUCAUGUAUUGCAUCUGGGGCAUAUGUUUCUUUGGGAGUUUCAGUGUUGUCUGCUGAAGGAUGCAAGCCAUGAAAUCUUACGUGUGGUCGAGGGACACAAUUGCCUCCAGCAUCAUCAAGAUUCUAAUCAUUAAUUGGCUCUCUGGAUGUUGCAGUGCAGGAGACGUUUCAAACCCGGUUGCUUGCUUGCUCAUUGGUCACGCGAUCAAUAUGUUAUCGAAUGUACGUAAAAGAAUUGGUAUAUUGCAGUGACGGUAAAAAAGGAAUUUAGGUCUUAUUCCAAAACAUAGAAGGACACGGCCGUAAAUGUGUGGUAAAAUUAGUCUCAAACUGGGAGGCCGUGAUUUCUAGUAGCCUGCCGUCCUCUAGUUUUGUAAGCUUAAUCAAGCGAAAUUGGCUCGUCUCACAAUUGUCGUAUCCUAUAUGUCAUCAGUUCGAAGUUAGCUAUGAUAAUGCGCUUGCGUUCUUGGGCAAGCUACGAGGUACAUUAGUCUUCUAACUAAAUAGACUUAUUAAAGAUCAAUUAAUAGACUUAUUAAAUAGCUGAUCUGGACAGCAAAUAAUUUCUUCGCUGCAUUAAAUCACAUGGGACAAGUGCCACUCGAAAUAGAAUCACACUAAUAGAAUUAAUUUUGACUAAUGAUGUAUUAUUGUUGGCACUCCAAAAAAAAACCCUCCAAGCACUCCUCUUUUCUUUUCUGCUUAAUGAAAUAACACGUAAACUUACAAAAUGAUUUAGAAAACAAAUUUACCCCUCCAUACAUUCACCACUAACUUUAUCUACUUUAAUGUCAAAUUGUUUGGAUACUAGUAAUGAAGUAAAUUCCUAAUAACUAUCGAUAUUUUUCAAUAUCGUGUGCCUAUAAAUUAUUUUGUAAUUCUUGAAUAAAGCACUAACCUUCAAGAUUUCAUUCUAUAGGACCGAGAGAGACUCGAUCUAGCCGCAAAAAGAAUGUUUGGUUUGAAAUUUUCUAUUGCUUCAUUUUUGUGGAGUUUUACAACUUUGAAAGUAUUGUGCGUAUGCUUAUGUGUGUGUGUGCGCGCGCGCGCGCUUUUUCUUUUUUUUUUUAAAUUAAAACUUUAUAGUCAAGGGUAUAGAUAGGCCUAUCAACGGGCCAGGAUCCGGACCGAAAUUCAUUAUUCCGGAUCCGGACCCGGCAUAUCAUAUUGGACCUGGAUUCGACCCAUUUACCCGACGGGUCUUCUACUCUAUAUUUCGAAUUCGGAUCCGACAGAUCUCAGAUCCGAGUCGGGUCGGCCCGAAAAAAAUUAUCAAAAACUUAUAAUUUCUAAUAAAAAUGAGAAAAAAAUAUAUUUGUAAACUAAUUUCUAACUAAUAUAAAAAAAACCAAAUAAGAAAAGAAAUCAAAUUGACUUUACUCAAAUACAUCACCCUAAUCUAAUUAUAUUGAUAAAUAUAUAUUUUAAAUUAUUAAUCCAUUUAUAUCCGGAUCUAGGUCUAAUACGGGCCGGAAUACUAUAUUCCGUAUCCGACCCAUUUUUUUAUUUGAUAAAAUGGAUUCGGAUCCGGAUAACGGAAUUAAAUCCCUACUCGUACUCGCAAAAAAUUCACGGAUCAAGUCCGGGACCCCCGUUGACAGGCCUAGGUAUAGAGGCCUCCAUGAAAUAAAUGCAAAGUGAUUAUUAUUAACUAUACCUUGGGGGUAUUAUUGGUACUUAAACUUUUAGAGAACCUUAUGGAUGUUGACGCCAUUUUAAACAACACUGACCAACAUGGAGUUUGUUUUCCUAUUAGCUUACUACGUCCGAACAAUUUGUGUGCGGGUGGGUCUCAUCCGCCACUAUCACUGGUGCAAAGCGUUUGGAGCAUGAAUCCUCUGGACACCACUCGAAGUUGGAAACGAAUAUGGGAAAGCACACCUGAAAAAUUGACUCAAACAUCUUUUUCAGAUAACAUCUUGAAAGGGACAGAAGAAACACAAGGAAAUUAAACAAUCCAACUAUCACAUCAUAGUCCGAGAUAUAUAUAAUUUCUUGCUCUCAAAAUUUUUUUUCCAAUAUAGAACUCGCGUUUGCAUGGUUUUUCUUUUGGCUUGUUUCUUGGAAACAUUUCUGAACAAUCAAUUGCUUAAGGUGAUAUCCUAUGCUAAACCCACUUUCAAUUUUUGCUAAUUUCCAUCUGACGAUCCAAUUGUACAUGCAUGGAUUUUUCCCACAGGACAGGUGGUGGAAUUGCUGGGGAUUUUGGAUAUCAGACAGUGGAAGGUUCCCUCCCCUUAAAAUAUUGGACCUGCCUCUCUUGCGCCCUUUUAAAAGUCCUCCUCGAACUUUUCUGGGGCUGCCAUUACUGAGGAAGGUCUAUACGCUCCCUGAGUCAAACCGGCACUUCCAACCAACCUCCAUCUCAUGUGCUGACCGUUCCAGUGCUUGCCUGUUAAGCAUUCUUAGAUACUUGAGUUUUUUACUUUUUUACCCAAGUCUUUCUGGGGUACCUCCUUUGAACUCUUCGUGGAUUCAAGAAUCAAGAUUCUUUUCAAUUUUUCGUUACAUAAAGUAGGAAGAGUUAUUAGGUGAUCAGUUCUUGAUUCUUUGAGUUUGUUCUUCUUUCCGUAUUCUUGUUGUGUUUGUUAGAAACCAGUAAAGUUUUCUUGCUGGAAUUGAAUUCCUUUUCUGUUAUUUGACACUUUUUCCUGGAACCCAGUUCAGUGUUCUUGGUAAACUUGGAGCCUUUUCUGAUCAUUUUGGGUGUCUGGGAUGCUGAAGUUAAUGCGGUGAGCUUUACUCAAGUUUAAAGCUUGAGAGCUUUGGAGGCCUUUACUCAGCCAUGUCAGACUAUGAUGUCUUGUAUCUGUAUAGAAAUAUGGGCGAGAAUCCUGUAUGGGGUCUGUUUAAGAACAUAAGGUACUGAUUGAUUUUGAAAAGGCUUGUGUUGUUUUCGUCAAUUGUUUGUAUGAUGGUUGCUCUUUUAACUUUUUAGGUGGGGAGGGAAUAUAAGGUCUCUUGUUAGAUAGAUAUUUAAUUUGAAGUUGAUAAUGUGUGGUGCAGAAAUGUUUUCAAGAAGGACGAGUUAGGAGUGGAAAUUGCACAGAUUGCAAUACCUGCAGCAAUGGCCUUAGCUGCUGACCCAAUUGCUUCUUUAGUUGAUACAGCUUUCAUUGGUCAUAUAGGUUUGUUCCUUUCUUCCUGGUGUUCUUUCAUCACUGCUGAUACUUUACUGAUGGUCUUAUGUGAUCGCAUUUUCAUUCUGAAAGUUGUGCUGUACUUUGUCCUGUUUAAUCAAUAAAGAUUCUUUGUUCCAUCCAUAAUUGAAAAACGUACAUGAAAACUUGAGGCUUCUUUGUGCUAUAGUGAAAAAUUGUGCUUUUGGAGGUAAUGAAAACAUGUAAAGGGACUUGACACUCCAGAAAACAUCAAUCAGCUGAAAACAAUUACCCUUCUAAGAAUACCAUAUGACAUUUUUAUAAAUACCAAAAAGAUUUGGUUUCUGCUACUCUGGCAUUGAAACAUCAAUUUGCAUUGGACCUGCUUUUGAUAAAUCAUAUAAAAAGAUUGCUAGUUUAAUUUGAAGUAUAUUCUUUGCACAUUUGCUUCUAGUUUCUGGUCAAAUCUUCAGAUUCUUAGAACUAGAGCUAUGUUUAUUGCAAAGCUACCUAGGCUUGUGGCUGUGUUUGCAAUUCACCACUUUCUUCUUCUUCUUCUUCUUUUUUUGUUAAACUGCUCUCAGAUGAAUGCAGCAGCAAAGGGAAUGUACUUCUCUGCUUUUUUCUUUUCUGAACUGGUUAUGUUGAAUACCGUUGUAGCUCUUGUAAAAUAUUAAUUAUAUGCAACCUAAGUCAUAUCUUUCCUCUUGCUUUUUACGUAUUGGGUCUUGGAAAGUCGCUAGUGGUAACCUAAUUGUCUGACUGAUUCAUCAUAACUGCAUGUAGGUCCAGUGGAACUUGCGGCUGUAGGUGUCGCCAUUGCUGUAUUUAACCAAGCAUCAAAAAUUGCAAUAUUCCCACUCGUUAGUGUGACAACUUCUUUUGUUGCUGAAGAAGAUGCUACUAAAAGUUUGAGCAUUGAUUCACAAGAAAUUGAAAUAGUGGAGAAUGGUUUUGCUGCAGAUGGCGAAAAGGAAGAGUUGCUACCGAAAGUGGGUAAGGCUUUGACUAUUUUUCUCUUUGUCAUCCGUAGAAAAAAGUGCUGUGAUAAUUCCUUUUUUGUUGAAAAUAUGAAAAUUCACUUUUUCAAUGUUAUCUAUUUGAUUACAGUUGUUAGUUAAAUAAGCAAUCUUGCUCCUGCUGUUGUGAACUUUUCCGAUGUUCUCUACCUUGAUACAGAAUUGAGUAGCAAAUCAUUCAGCAGUAGCCAAGGGAAGGUGGUUGAUGGUAGGCGGAACAGCAGGCAUAACUCUUCUGCUUCAUCAGCAUUGCUCAUAGGUUGUAUACUUGGUAUCAUCCAAGCAAUUUUCCUCAUUUUUGCUGCAAAACCCUUGUUAAACUACAUGGGUGUAGAAUCUGUAAGUUAAUCUUCUUAAUAUUAGUAAUCACUUAUGGUUCUUUCACACAGCCUUCACCAUUUUUUAGGUGGUCUCCUCAGUAUAAACAGAACAUCUCAUAGCUCAACUUGAAUGAAGUUUCUUCUUGUUGAUAUUCAAAUUUUGUUUAAGUUGUUUCCUAUAUGAGUGAAGUCGUUAAAAAGAAUCCAUGGAGCAACUCUUUAAGAAUCAGAUAUACUCUUUAAGCAGGGCGUUUUGCUUUUUCUAAUUUACUUCAUGUCUUUCAAAUUUGAAAGAUAAAUAGUCUGGUGGAACAGAAAUAUUAAGUUGUAUUUUUGGUUUAAUCCCUAUCUUGCACCUAGUUCUUCAUCAGUAGAUUUUAUGGAAUUGUAAGAAGCAAUACAUGAUACCUCACCUGAAUGUUAUACAUCUCACCAUGUUGAAUGUAUUGUGACUAUUAAGCAUUGUACCAGAUUCUUGUUGAGACCUCCAUUUGUACUUUCAAAUUUAACUCAUCAACCUUGUUUUGGAGAAGAAGAAUCUUCUCUUCAAGUCUAAUCUUUAGCUUACAAGAUGUAGGUCAUUUGUCCAUCUGGGGAGAUGGUACUUCUUUUGCUUUAAGAUCUAUAUCUAAGCUAGGAUCAAUUCAAAUUUUAUCAAGAUUUCUAUGAGUUAUUCAGUUGUUUCUUGCAAACAGAGCAACUGGGUGUGUAUUAUUGUAAUGACCAAAGUUGUUUUUUUCAUUUCUCACUGAUGAGGAUAUAAAUUAAUACCCAAAGCUGUAAUAUUGUCAAGUUUGUUCCUUAGCCUUGAAUGUGUGAGUAUCUGCUCUGUACUUUCAAAAUUCAAAAUUUUCUUAAGGAUUAGAAUGUAAUUGGGUUUUGGAGUAGUCAGUUGAUGUUUCAUAAAGAUAACUGAUUAUACAAUAUUAUCUAAUGCAGGAUUGCUUACAUUUCUACAAAUACCAUUUUAUCUUACUUGUCACAGUAUCCACUGUAUCAUCAAUGAUCAUUACUGCAACCAAAUGAAAUAACAGUGCUUUGUUUUCUCCAUGUAGAAUUCACCUAUGCUGAACCCAGCCCAAAAGUACUUAAUAGUGAGGUCACUUGGCGCUCCAGCUGUCCUCCUUUCCUUGGCCAUGCAGGGUGUCUUUCGUGGAUUCAAGGAUACAAAAACCCCUCUUUAUGCAACCAGUAAGCAAGCUUUGAAGUUUCUUAGGCACCUUUUUUUUCUGACUAAUAUUUAUGUUUCUCUUGCUUUUGGGGUACUAGUGGACAAAUGAAUCAGACUAGUUUUAUACAUUUACUAUCUUUUGUGACAGAUUUUUACCAAUCUGCUCUUGUAUGUGAAAAUUGUUACCCUAUGCAAUUAGGCUGACAUUGUUUACUGGAACGCAGUGAUUGGAGAUCUGACAAACAUAAUUCUGGACCCAAUAUUCAUUUUCCUGUUUGGUUUAGGUGUUACUGGUGCAGCCGUUGCCCAUGUUAUCUCCCAGUAAGAUUUAAGUUUCACCUGUUGUAAAUUAUUUGUAAUUUUAUCUAAACUUGUAAUUUUUGUAUUAUUUGCUCAUUUUAGUUUCUUCUCAUUUGGUCUUUAAAUAAUUGCAGGUACUUUAUUUCCCUAAUACUUAUGUGGAGAUUAAUGAGUGAAGUAGAUCUUUUAGCCCCUAGUAUCAAAGAUCUGCAGUUGGGUCGGUUUCUUAAGAAUGGUGAGUAAUGUCUGAUGCUAAAGACAUCAAUCCAUUAUUUGUGUUGUCCAACAUCAUAUACCUCCUGUAACCUGCAUGAUGGGGGAGUUUCUUUAUCACCUUAGAACUGCAGGGUUGUUGCUGAUUGAACGCAUAAGCCAGGUGGAAUACUUCUUCCUUGCCAAUCCAUAAACAAUUUACCAACUAAGCAUAUUGACAACUUUUAUUUCAGUAUAUAAAUUAAAAUAUGAGAUUUGAGUUAUCACUUGAGUUGGUGAAAUUUGGUAUUGGAUUUAAUUCUGUUGUGGAAUAAUUGAUUUUUCAGAAAACAAAACCAGUAACUUAGUCUUUCGGAUCUAUGCUUCUAGUCACACCACCACACAUGGUAUAAAAGAUAAUAACCUGCCUCUUUAAUAAUGUCACAAGAAGCUUCUCCUUAAGUGGACUGCUAUGCAAGUAUUUAUACUUCUCUUUCUAAGAGUAACAAUAGGGUAAUUCUGUUGAAGCAUGGUGAAAAUAAUUUUUGAUGCUCUACGUGCCCCAUUUAUGGGUCCAAUUCUUCUUCCUUUGACUAGCAGUCAACCAAUACUCGUUGCUAUUACCUUAAUGCAAGAAAAGAGCUAGCUUCCAUCAAUGCUUGUUUGUAUAAAUUGGUACCUUUUGAAUUGAAUACAACCAGGGAUGUAGGCAAAUAUCCAUGCACAUAUUGUAGACCUGCAAUUAGCAGUCUCAUGCUGAAAAGGAAGUGAUAACUGACAUAUAACUUGUACAACAAUUAUCUCUUACUUUUAUCAUACCCAGAGUUUACAAGUGAAAUCGGACACCACUCAAGUAUGUUUGCAUGGCCCUAAAAAUGCAAAUCCUUCUCCAUACCUGCAAAAGGAGAAAAGAAGAGAAAAAAUAUAUUGGGAUGAUAGUUUCAUGAUAGUUAUUGAAUCUUCUUUGCAGUAUAAAUGAUGCUUUGCAUGGUUCAAAGGAAAAAGUUUGCAAAGACAUACUAUUGUUCAAUUUGUUAAAAAUAAAUGAAAAUUUUGUGAAGGAAAAACCAGGAUGGUAAGUAAUUCAUAAAAGCUUUAUUUCUCGAUUAGCAGAGUGUCUACCUGCAACAUGACAUAGUUUCUAAAUUCUUCAUCUGUUCUAGCAAUUGAAAUUUGUAGUUUUGUACUCUCAGUAUCUGGUUUUGCAAAUGAAACCAUUUAUUUCAUGAAAUUUUCAAUCAAAUACACUAUAUUUGAUCUCUUGGCUGAUUUACCAUGUAUGCUUAUUUGUCUCUUCCUCUCUUCCCCCAAAGCAUUCACUUAACUUCUUCCGGCUGUUUAUAGAUGGAAAUGUAUAUGCAUGGAAAUACUAAUUUAUUUUGCAUACUUGGGAUCAGGAUUUCUGCUAUUAUUGAGAGUCAUAGCAGCAACAUUCUGCGUAACCUUGGCAGCUUCAUUGGCUGCAAGGGUGGGAUCAACAUCGAUGGCUGCUUUCCAGGUCUGCUUGCAGGUUUGGCUGGCAACCUCAUUACUUGCUGAUGGAUUAGCCGUAUCGGGACAAGUAAGGAUCAUUAAUUCAGUUUACAUUAAUUGUCUUUUGUUUUUGAUAAAUGAUGCAAUUUAUUAUUAGUUAAUCUGUACUUAAUUUUUCUUAUCUGAGGCUUAAAGAAGCACACUCAACUUAAAGAUGAUGACCGCUGAAUAAUGUCUAGAAAAUUGGAACCAUAGGGGUUAUGUAUAUAAUCUGAGAGUUCGUGAUCAUCUAUAACUAGUAUAUUCUAACUAUAAGCAUGUGAAAUGUAUGUGAAUGAGUCUGUUUCUUGUCCAAACUAUUUGAAAUAUCAUUUCAAGCAUAACAAGUAUUUAGCAGUCCAAGCACUAGAAAAGCUGAUUAAUUCAUUUAAGGCCGAAGCUAGAUAACUCAUUCAACGCCAUGUUUAAGUCUUACUUUUGAGUGGACUAAUUCCUUUGUUCUGCAUAAUAUUCAACGCUUUAUCCCAUUUUUUGCUCAAGUUUUAGAAAGUACUUUUGAUUUGUUGGUGUUAAGACAUAGGUAGCUUUGUUUUAAUUGUUUUGCAGGCCAUUCUUGCCAGUGCAUUUGCAAAAAAUGACUACGAGAGAGCCACAACUACUGCCUCUCGUGUCUUACAGGUACUUCCACUGUUUAUACUUUAAGAACUUCUUGUUACUUUCAUUCAUCUCUGCCUUUUUCUUAAAUUUUUUUCCUAUCUAUAUUCUGUACUGACAAGAUCUUCAACUCUGCAGUUGGGAUUGGUACUUGGGCUGGUUCUUUCACUCAUUGUCAUUGUUAUACUGAAAUAUGCAUCAACAAUUUUCACAGCAGAUAUAAAUGUUCUCCAUCUUUUAAGUUUGGGCAUCCCGGUAUAUUUUGCUUUCCACGAAGAUCUUCUUUUAAGUUUCCAGUGUCGGUUAAAAUGUAUACUAACGGUUGAAUGCAGUUUGUUGUAGUGACGCAGCCAAUUAACUCUGUGGCCUUUGUUUUUGAUGGAAUAAACUAUGGAGCAUCUGAUUUUUCUUAUUCUGCCUACUCCAUGGCAAGUUUCAACCCUUCAACUUUUCCUUUCUAUUCGUGAUGCUUGUCUAGAGAGAAGUCUUGUGCAUUUCCUCGUACUCCUGUCCAUCAUGUCUAUCAUAUGAUAUUUUGCCAGUAUGAGCAGCACAAGUUAAAAAGAAAUUUCCCUGCUUCUCAAGAAACCAUAGACAAAGUUUAGCUUAUCUUGUAUUUUCUCCUGCAGAUUUCUGUGGCAGCAGUGAGUAUAAUACUCUUGCUACUGCUGUCCUCGAGAUUUGGUUUUGUUGGUAUAUGGCUUGCAUUAUCUAUCUUCAUGAGUUUGCGGGCGUUAGCUGGAUUUUGGAGGUAAUCUGGCAUUGGUUAAUGGUUAUUUCUCCAUAAUCAAUAGAAAAGAAACACUCUUUUUUCCCUUGUAGCUACAGGGGAGAACCUUUCCCUUCACAUUUCCAUGCAGGCUAUAAUUUCAUGAAAUUUUGUCAAAUAUCUAAAUUGUUACUUAAUUUCCAUUUUUACACCUGCAGGAUAGGAACCAGAACAGGACCUUGGCGCUAUCUCCGGGGAUAAUUUCUGCUGAUUAUAGCUGGAUUUGCACCACCUCAUUUUUCUUGGUUUUGGAAGAAUUCCUGCCAUCAUUUAGGAAUAUGUGGCUGAUAAUAUUAGAUGGCCAUAAUAUUAGUAGGUAUAAAUCACUACUUUCAUUCCUUGUUGUAUCAAUAGCAUCUUGAGAGCUGUAUGAGGCAAAUGAUAUCCAUAUGAUCAAUGUGUUUGUAAAACUGCCAAAAGCCAAAAAAAGCAAAUAACAAAAAAAAAAAAAGAAGAAGGAAAUGGAGGAGGAAAAAUUAGGUUAGAUUUUCUUCAUAUCUUUUUUCCUUUUAAGCAAAAUGUUAGAUUACAUUAGAGCCAUAAGAACCUUACUAUGCUUUCUCUGUCAAGUUUUAAUGAGAGGUGUCAGUGUGCAAAAUCUAAAGACGUGGAACUGAUAGCAAGAUAUAUAUCACGCCUCUUGCCCUCUACGGCUGGGGGCAGCAUAACAGCGUUAACGUUUUUAGUACCCGCACUAUACCUGCCAUCUGCGAGAUCGCAACCUAUCUCCUCAAGGCGUGAAAAUGGAAUCUGUUUGGUAUCACGCCUCAUCACUCCACCUAAGAAAGGCGGAAAGUCAUGCCUAACUCCUAAAGGGGUGUUUUUGGACUCCACUUAAAAGUCUGACUAAUUUUUAAUGAGAUAAAAGCACCCCUUCAUGAGAUAAAAACUAGAAUAAGCAUUUUUAUUCCCUUUUAAAUUUCUUUGACCCAUUAUGGCAUAUAAUAUAUCGAGGUAUUAUUUUACAAAACAUGUAUCCAAAACACAUAAUUCAGAUAUUAAAUUUUUGAAAAAGUAAAAUUAAUUAGAAAAAAAAUGCAAAUGCAAAGUAAGAUAAUAAUUUUUAGUGUGUGUGUAUAUAUGUGUGUGUGUGUGUUAGAUUAGGUGGAAUAUAAGUGUGUUAACGAGCUGUUAAAUAAUCCCCUUUAUUUCAAAGAGAAUCAAUGAGAAUCCAUUUCCAACCACCUGUUUGAAGUAUAUAAGCAAAAAAGAAAGUACCAAAUUAUUUGAGAUAAAUUGUCUUACAACCGAUGGCCACAUAAAUUUGUAAGCUUGAAUUUUUGCCUGCACCAGCUAUAACUACAACAAAAAAAAAAAAGAAAAGAAAAGAAAAAGUACAACAGAAACCAACAAAAGGGCAGUAGACAAAGCCCCACAACUAGGGAUGGCAAUGGGGGCGGGUGCCCACGGGGGCUAAUGGGGAGGGGGUGGGGCGGGGGCGGGGGGAAUUUUUUCCCCCCGUUUAGAAACGGGGCUGGGGACGGGGGAGUGUACCCCCGCCCCGCCACCCGCUUUAAAAAAAUAAAUAUAUAAAAUAUAUAUGUAUAUAAUUAUUAUAUAAUAUAUAAUUUAAUUAGUUACAAACUUAUGAUAAUGAUAUUAUUAGUUAUAUGUAUUAUAUGAUGUCUAUUAGUAUAUAUAAUAUAAUUGAUAUUAUUAAUUAUACUAAUAAUUAUAUAUGUUUACUAAUACAAAUUAUUAAUUGGUUAUACUAAAUUUAGUAAUACAUUUAUACUAAAUCCCUGAUUACACUUAAUACAAUAACAUUUUUUUCUUAAAAAAAACACAAGCACAAUAAUGAAUUAGUGAUUGUAUUUGUGCCAAAAGUGAAAACUUGACUACUUUAGUUAUAUUUAUUUCAUCAUGUUGGAUUGUAUUCAAAUAAUUUUUGUUUGAUUGUUUUUAUAAGUUUCAAUUGUAAAAUUACAAUGAAUAAUAAUUUGAUGAUAUAUUGAUAUUUUAGUACUUGAUUAUUUGCUAAAAUUUAACCAUAAUAAAAUUAUAUAACAAAUUUUUAUUAGCCCCGUGAAGGCACCCGCGGGGGAAGCGGGGACGGGACGGGGGGAGCAGGGGACAGGGGAUGGGGCGGGGGGAGUUUGUAGGCAGCGGGGCGAGGGAUGGGGGAGGGUCCCCCGCCUCAACCCCGACCCCUCCCCCGCCCCGUUGCCAUCCCUACCAACAACUCAUUUCAUAACUAAUUUCUUUCAAAUAUCAAUUAAUAAUCUAAUCUUCAAAGGCCAAGUAUUAUGUACGAUUUAAACUGGUGAAUAUACCUAACAGAAACAAUGGGAAAAUAUUUUCAUCCGACUUCUUUUAGAGGAUGAAAAGGAAACUUGAAAAAGGAAUAACGGCGCCGUUCUUAACUGCUAGUGUAUAAUAGCUAGUUUUAGAAAAUCGGAAUAAAAAAGUAUUGCAAUAGAUUCUUUUGAUUUUUUUUUUUUAGUUUUUUAGGCUAAAAAAUCUAAAAUAAAAUUGGGAUAUGAAAAGCAGUUGAGAAUACAAAAUAUGUUAUUUUAAAAUGAAAAUUUAAAAUCAAGUCUUGAAAAUUAUUUGAGGACCACAUCACGGAAUAAAUUGUUUAGGAUGAUAAUUAGCUCCACUCAUUGUGUUUUGAUGCUACUAAUGGUUAUUUCCAAAAUUAGGUGCCUUCAUCCACCAAAACCACUCAUAUUAAUACUACUGUGUGGCUCAUAUUUAAACCCUAAACCUACCAAUGGAUCAGACCCAAUGACAAUUGAUUUGAUCAUGGCUAACCACUAUACUAUACCCACCUCUCCCCCCCCCCCCUUCUCCCUCUUUGCAUCACCAUGAAAAUAAAAUUUAAAGAAGAAGAAGAAUUUUGUGUAGUGCUUGAUGGACCAUAUACAAAGAUGUUAGAUAAAUUGUUUUUGGGAUGAAAAGUAUCUUUCUGUGCAUGUAAAAUGACAUAUACUCCGUAUUUGAAUGCUGUGUACGUGACCAAUCUCAGCUCUAUGGUGCCACAUUUUUCAUCUUUAAUUUUUUAUCUUAAUUUUUUUUUCGGAUAUAUAUGAAGCGAAUGGUCGAUAAAUAAAAGAAGAAAACAAAACUUAAAAAAAAAACCCAAAAAAAAAGGAAAGAAAAGUAAAGAAGGUUGUGAUACAUUUUUCAUCUUUAACAUCAUCAUUUCCUGAUAUGAUCUCAGAGAAUCUCAAUCCCUUUAACCUUUGUCUGAGGACUCUUAAGGUAAGUACUCUGCAUUGCAUAACAAACAUGGCACAGCCGCAUAGAACAUUCUUGUUUAACAAAUAUUAUUAUUAGAAGUGGCAAAAUGGAUUCAUAUCCACUAAUCCAUCCAUAUAAACCAACCUUAAAUGGAUUUGGAUGAUCCAUAUAAAUUCAAUGGUUUUAAAUGGAUAACCAUUUAAAUCCAAUUAUGUUAGUGGAUUUAAAUGGAUUAUCCAUCUUAUCCAUAUACAUCCAUUUAACUUAAAAAAUAGAAAACACAUUUAUAAGAAUGUGAGAUAAAAUGUUGUGGGACCAUCUAUUCUUUUCUUCAUAACUUUAUCAUAUGUCAAAUUAAUUUUGUGGGACCACCUAUUCUUUCUUUCAUAACUUCCUCGCAUGCCAAGUUGCCAAUAACAUUAAUUGCAUUUUAUUUGGUUCUAGUUCCUAGACUUCUUCCAUCCUUUUCAAAAUUAUAUUUUAGUCUCUACUCUUGUUUUUUUUAAUUAAACUCUCAUGUAGUAAUGAUUGCAAACAUUUAUAUUCUUAAGUAAAGAAAAAGCGAGAAUGCAUCAUGCAGUGUCAAAAUAAUUUUUAUUUUUUUAAUUCUUUUAUUUAUAAAAAAAAAAUUUUCUAACGAGUGUCCCCGCAACAUUGGUUAAGAUAUGUAAAUGACACUUUUUUUUUUCCCAAAUCCUCAUACUUGCAAUCCCUCUCCCCUUAUCACCCAACUCAACUAUCCAAAAAACAAAAGACACCUAAUUUACUAAGUAAUAUAAGGUAGCUGGUAUAUCAAUGGUAUAAUAAGGAGUUUCAUACAUUUUUAGGUACUACGUGCACAUGUGAUGCAAAUAUUUUACUUGUCAAAUAACAUAAGAUUUCUUAUUAGAACUCCACUUUUAUUCAAGACAUCACUCUUGAACAGGAGUGCAAAAAAUUGGAAACGUAAACUUUUUUUCACUGUAAAGCCGUAUUCAAUUCAUUCAAAAGUUAUAAAAAUAUGGCCAAGUUCUUAAUUGUUCAUUACUUUACAAAAUGAUACUUAAAGUAAUGACGAAAGGUUAAAUUGACCACAACAGUUAAAUUUUCUUGGAAUUAAACUAAUUUUAUGAAGAACUGAAAUAGAGUAGUAGUACAAGUAUUUGUUAUUACCAAAAGGUUUUAGGUGAUUUAAGGAUAGAACUUUGGGGAUAUGUAUUUUUUGGAAAAAAAACAUUUUGAUCUUAAAUUUAGGAUUUGGGAGAGUAAAUGGAUAAAUGAAUGGAUCAUGGUUUACACUAUCCAUUUAAAUGACAUCCAUUUAGAUCCAUUUAUUAAAUGGUUUUAAUUGGAUUGGAUCAAUUUGAUCCACAAUCCAUUUAACUAAAACCAUUUAUCAACCAUAUAUCCAUUUUGCCACUUCUAAUUAUUAUUAUAGCCCCUGUUGCAACUUGAUUUUUUUUUUUUUUUGUCGAACCCUGUUGCAACUUUUUUCUUUCACAAAUGUUACAGAAAGCGCACACACAUCACUCAACGCAAACGACACAGAAGGCAUCGCUAAGAUCAGCCCCAAGAACAAUAUAAGAGGAACCCACAGAGCAAUGAUGGAGCCAAGGGGGGGCAGAGGGGGGCCAUGGCCCCCCCUAAGUUUUGAGAAUUUUAAUUCAUAAUAUAUAAAUAUAUGUGUAAAAUAAACACAGAGAAACUUCAUCCAGCCAAUUGGUAACCCUGUUGCAACUUGAUGGGCUACCUUUCUUUGUUUUUUCUCAGGGUUUUGGGGGGAAAGACUUAGGGAUUGAUGGGACGUUAAAUUCAUAUAUAAUUCAAAUGUUGGUACUGGUUAAUGACUUAAAUGUCAUUCAUUGUUUGACAUGGUCAUUUGCUUCAAUAAUUUAUCAAAUGUUGUUAUCACAGUCUUGUUUCCUUCUCCAACUUACUCUAUGCCAUUUUUUUAAUAUUUAUAUACUUAUUUAUUUUGUGGUCAAUAUUUUUUUGGUUUUGUGUUGUUGGGGGGGCAAGUUUCUUUCCCGUUUACUAAAAGUUCUUUUCUUGUACUAGUUUGAAAAACUUAGAACGGACAAGGAAAAAGUUCCCCGGUUGCAUGGGCACCGAAAGACAACACGGACGUGACACUACUUUUUUCCACCCCUUUUACCUCUUCUUUUCAUUUUCUUCUCAUGCAUGUUAAUUCAAGAAAAUGACUAGUCUUUAAUUAAAGAGACCUUUAUUUUGGGGUUCAAUGAAUUAAAUUUAGACCCAUUCUAAUUUGAUGAUAGGUUCUCAUGGCAUAUUGCUCAACAUCUAGAUGACAAAGCACCAUGCCUUCUGCGCUAAGCUAGCUAGCUAGCUAGCAAGGUAGUCUGCUAUCGUGGAACGAGCACCACCGCAAACACAAGUUGCCUCAAUUGAUAACAACGGAUUGCUUUUUUACAAAAAUUUUGUACAUUUGAAUCCCGCUGACGAUAUAAUGGAUAUAUCGGUAGGCAAUCUGUAAGAAUCUCUGUAAGCGAGUUAUGGGUCUCAGGACAUGCCUUAACCCAUCGUAGUGAUCGGAGUCGAACUCACUCAAACUUUUAUUUAUCAAAAAAAUAAAUAAAUAAAGAAUGAGCACCAACGCACAAAAUCACGGGUUUUUGGAUUCCCCCAAGAAGGGAGAGGGGGUGAGAAGAAAUUGUUUCAAGCAUACAUUCAGAAAGCUUUAUGAAUAUUUAUUGAAACAACAAACACCUAAACCCUAAUAAGUAAUGACACCAAUAAUGUGUCAUUUCACAAACAACCGUGUCUAAUCGAGUUUGAAUUUCACUGUGCACUAUCUGUGAAGAGAAUCAUGGCGUUUUAACAAAGAUAAUCUUGUUUAACAAGAGUUCUAUCAAUAAUAGCAUGCCCUAACCUAAUUGAUAGCAUUCGUGUAUGAACUCAAAAAGCCCUGAUUAAAAACUGAAAUAGGGGAUUACACUAGAGAAUGAGAGGAUAAUGCUAGAGAACACACGAGUUUCCUUUCCGUGGAAAAACACUCGAUCAAAAGGAAUAAGAUUUUAUCUGAUCAAGAUACAAGAUAUGGUGAAUGUGAUUCUCUCAAGCAAAUAAAAUAGUAGUAAAGAACAGGUGGAGAUGAUCCCAGUAAAAAUCAUUUUCUUCCACUAACAUAUGUUAUCAAGAGCAUCAAAUCCAGAAUCAUAGAAUAUCGAACCCACAUGCCGCAUAAGAGUUGCAUCACCAAAAGAAGAUCGAGUUCAAUUCAUUGCCAUAAGCGCAUAAUCCUUCUUUAUUUAUUUAUUUUGGUGUGCAAAAGCUUCAUUAUCAUCACCAUCAUCAUCAUCAUCUCUUAGAAAGAAAGAUUCAUAAUUCCUAGAUUAUAUAAAACAUUUUCUCAAGCAUCUGAUCUGCACACGGAUUGGUAGAAUCCACAAGUAGAUAGCCUUUUCUUGCAAUCCAUAUUCCCAUGUCCACAUCUCCCACAAACUCACAUCCAGCUUUUGGAUAUUGGGAUUUGGAAUCCACUAUGGAUCAGGUUCCCAUGGCUCAACCAAUGCCAAGAGUAUAAUAUAUGUGAUGACAUGACAUAGGAAAACACUUGGAAUAAAAAUGCAACUAGCAUUAAAGGAAGAAAGAACACAUGCAUAGAAUCAAGAGUAAUAAAUGGUACCAAUAACAGUAAAAGUUACAUGCUUUACAUAUAUAAAACUAUAGGUAGUUCUUUCAUCUUCCUCUACUCUGCAAUUCUGACAACUGUAUGGUAUUAUUUUGGAGUUCCAACAUCAGAGUCCACAGAAAUUAUCUGCAUCAGCAACAUGCUCCUUUUCUUUACCCCCUAAAGAAUAUGGAUGUUA